GUACCUAUAACCAAAGUACUAUAUAACCUUUUAUGUAAUCAUGCAGUCAGUGACUAUUGGCCAUAAAUCAAUUUAACAAGGUAUGAAAAUUACAGAUAACAGAAAUCUGGCCUUGCUGCAGUGCUUAAGUUUUUAAUAUCUAUAAGCCGAAGUCCUAACAUAAAUGACUAAGGUCAUAGUUGAAGACACCAGGGGUAAAGGGUUAUGGUUUCAAAUGAUCCACCUCCCUCUGAAAUCCUAAAACCCACCCAGUUAUUACUCAGUAAUCUGUAGUUUACACGAUGCUCCCUAUUGAUAGAAAUAUCUUGGUGUCCUCCUAUCUAAAUAUUUAAGAGUUUAGUGGCUGUGUUUAUAUUAGCUAAUGAAGAAGCCGUAAAUUAUAACUUCUUCAUCUAAUAUUCAACGAUGAAUCCCAAGUUAUGUUUAUCCUCCCCUCAAGAGAUGCUGCGAUCAACAUAGACUACAGCAAUGAACAGAUUCAGUAUCUUUCCCCUUCAUAUAGAUUUUCAGUUAGCAAAUGUAGUGAUUUCACAAUUUUGCUAGUAUAUCCAUUCAUUAAAUCUGCUGGAAUAUCCUGUAGGAUUUAACAAGGUAUUAUUUUUCACAUUCACAGUGGGAUGUUUCUUUUCAAGCACAGAUGGGACAAUUGCUUUAGAGAUUUAUAUAAUUAAAAUAAAGCUUCAAAAUUUACAGUUAAGCAAGGAAGCUUAUAUUCCCUCCGUUUCAAAUUGUAAAUCGUUUUGGCUUUUUUAGAUACAUGAUUUUUGCUAUGCACCUAAAUGGUUAUGUCUAGAUACAUACCAAACUCUAUGUAUUUAUAAAAGUCAAAAUGACCUAUAACUUGAAACAGAGGAAUUGCUUAAAUGCUGUUGGAAAAUAAUAUAAUCCUUGAUACGCGGAUAACUGAACCAGAAUAACGAUGUCAUAGAAUGUUACUAAAAAUAAAAAUAUAAGUAUUACCUUGUCAUAGAAUGCAUAAAGCGUGUGAUCAGCAGACAAUUGCUUUAGCUCUGAGGCUUGGCUAUCUUGCCCUGCACAUAAGCUUGCAACUUCAACUUGUGUUGUUGACACUAUGAUUCGGCUUCCUUUGUUGUUGUUUGGCAGGCAUUUUUCGAUCUGGUCCCACUCUUCAAUGGUGCAGAGGUUAGUAAGCACAAUGAGAAACCUCUUCUCCUUCACAUAUCCAUCGAACUCCUGAACUAAAUCGUGCGCGGUCUUCUCUGUGUCUAAUAUAUCUUUAAAUCCUUCCACUGCAAGAAAUUGGUUCACUAAGCUCCGGACAAAGCCUUCUGAACUGAAUGGAUGAGUCACCCUCACCCAUGCUCGGCUGGGAAAUUUUCUUUGGGUGUCUGGAUUCUUGUAAGCCGCCCUGAUGAUGGAUGUUUGGCCGAUAUCACCACCUGUUCCCCACACCGCAAUGACUCUAAGGUCAUCAUCCUCCUUGUUGAUCAGUUGGACGAGAUCCACUCUCUGAUUCUCCUUUGCGGCACGCCUUGCAUCAUCAACACCGAAUAUGGCUGCAGCAAUGAUGCUUGAUUGCACAGUGGCAGCUGUGGCCUUGGAUCCAGAGCCCUUGAUGAGGCGGUACCGCACAUUCCUCUGGCUCACAUCCUCAACCUUGGCCCUGAGCUCCUUCAUCUUCUUGGCCACACGGCGCCGCUCGAGCAGCUUGCGAGGGAAUCGCCACCAAGAUGGCCUCUCCACACGGACAGCAAAAUCUUGGAGACUGUCCUCGACGUCAUAGGCCGUGUCACGGACCUGCUUCACCCAGGUCUUCACCACCUUGUUGUCGUCUCGCUCCUCGUGUGCCUCCAUCAUGAAAGACUGCAUCAUCUCAAGCUCAUCCGCGACGAACGCAUGAUCUCGCUGGAUACCGAGCUGCAAGGCUACCUCCUCUGCAAAGGCAGAUUUCGCGUAGCCGAGCGCUCCAUUCAGCACGGACUUGCCCACACUCAGUGCCGUCGCCUCCAUCGUUCUGCUGUGUUUCUCCGUGGAUCUAUACAAGGCUCAAAUUUAGAAGCUAAAACUCCGAGGCAGAAAAGGAUAGAUGGACAAGCGUUGAUGCCACCCAGCAAGAUGGCAAGUACCUGAAUUUUGGUGAACGCACAACCAAGGCAGGGGCAGAUCUAGAGGUAAAUAUGCUGCAAAAUACAUUCUUGCUGUAAAUACAAAUAAUACAAUCUGUGAGAAACUGAAGAUCUUUGAAAGUAUACCUUCUGUGGCCUAUGAGAUCUUGUGGCGUGGAAGUAAAUACAGCACUCUACUGCUUUGAUCCGGCGAGGCUCAAGCUCACGGGACGGCCCACACUCACACGCCCUGACGUGACCCGGCAAGCCAGCAAGGUUGAGGCCAAAUGGUGUGGAUGCGUGAUUCCAAGGCAGUAGGCACCGAGAUGGCGGCGCCGCCCUCGCCGACGAGCUACGCCGCCACUACUCUUGCUGUCUUGCACCCGGUCGGCCUGUCGCCGCUGACACUCUGUGGUGGCUUGGUAGUCACCAGUUACUCCUCAGAAGUACCGCAUGCUGGCUGGGAGCAGUGGACUCUAGAUACCUCUAAUGGACUUUGCAGGGUGCUUACAUGGUCAGUAGGGAUUUUGCACACGAGCACUUGUUGGGGUCGGUUAGCAGCCGCCUGCCAAUUUCCUCUACACAUUAGCAAAUAAUGUGUAGAUUUUUUCAAUCAGUUAGCAAUUCCCUCGGGAGUAGAUUUACACAUUAGCAAUUCCCUCGGGAGUAGAUUUUUUCAAUCAGUUAGAUCCAAAGCGAUUGGGUAGCAGAUGUCAGUAUGUCACAUGGGGCGGUACAUUGGCAACAAUAAGAUACUUAAAGAGCUAACUGGCCGACGAUGCUACCGAAGACUUAACUAAUUACUACUACCUUUUGGUGGACCAACCUAUACAGACACGUAACACAACUGUCCUAGAAAUAUAGUUGCGCACAAGAUAAAAUUGCAUAACCCAAGCACCUUCUACUAAGGUUGAAAUGUUCGUUAUACAAACCAUGGCCCAUGGCACACAAGCUGAGUAAACUCCAAAAGGGUUCUGCAUACAACCUAAAACAAUCUUACAACAAAGAAACAGACAAACCCAAUGGACAAUAUCCAUGUAUACUUCGUUUCAGAAAGGUGUUCCGUUUGCAUUAUGCUUUAGUGUAGCACCAGGCUAAAAUGCAGGACCGUCUUCUCGAGCUCAUCCCUGAUGAAUGCCUGGUCUCGCUGGACACCAAGCUGCAACCUGCAAGGCCACGUCCUCUGCCAAGGAAGAUUUCGCGUAGCCAAGUGCUCCAUUCAGCACAUACUUGCCCACACUCAGUGCUGUCGCGUCCGUAGCUCUGCAAGCUGUGUUUCUCCAUGUUUUUUUAGAUUAGGGAAAUAUCCGGUCUUACGCCAUCUGCCACAAGGCCUUACAUAAAGUUUCACCAAACAGAAGAUGACAGACACUAGGCCUCAAUCUUAUUCCUGGAACUCCACCCAAACUAGCUGAAGAUUUCCAUGACAGCAAUCUCCAAAUUGCGACAGCUUUCUUUCAAGGCGACCUUCUCUUCCUCGUUAGAUAGCAGCGACCAACAUAAUGUCCAGUAUAUCCCUCUAAGAUUACCUUGCAUAAGAGAGUUAGGCUUGGAUCUUUUGAGCACUACAUCAUUCCUACUUAACCAAAUAGUCCAAUAAAGACUCAAUGCACCAACUAAAAUCUGAUUUCUAAGCUUUACAGAAAAAGUUUCUAAUCCAAGAACCAUACAAAUUCGAUACAUUGGUAGGCGAUUGAAUAUCAAAUGUGAUGUAAACAGAAUUCCAAAUUGUUCUAGCCAAAUGACAGUAAAAAAAUAAAUGUUGAAUCAUCUCACUAGAGCUACAGAAGCAACACCUAAUACUGCCUUUCCAAUUUCUCUUUACCGAGUUGUGGCAGACCUGAUGCUCACCUCACACAUCUGGCCUGAUGACUCUACAAAGUGACUGAGCUGGCGCCACAGCUGCACUCUUGGCGUAUGGUCCUGGAACGAAUCCAGAUCAAGUGACUUUGCCCAUGUGAAGCACAGUCAACGUAUCGACAGGUCAAAGUGUAACAGAGAGAGGAGCUGGUUUGGACGGAUCGAUGUCCUAUAGCCUUGCGGUGGUUGGGAGCAAAGUUUCCCUUCCCCUGCAUGCAUGUACUUGAAUCCAUUAUUUUGCAAUUCACCAAGCCAAAGAUGCCCAAAGAGCUCAGUGAGGCGUUCGAUGUAGGCAAAGUACUCACACACUCUGGUGAUAAUCAUACUGCUUAUUUGAUUGAUGGUGGCCUGGGUGCUGAGUACAGUAGCAUUUAUUUUAUGUUGUGGAGUGUACUAGUUGUUGAGACAGGCUGUAAAGAUACACCAUGUUUGAUUACAUGCAAAAAAUUUUUUUUUGAGAAGGUUACACCCUGCUUUGGACAUGGUAACAAUGCAACCACUCCUCCAAGUUCCCUUUCUUCUUUUUUUAUUCUACUACACGGAGAUCGGCGCAACAUCAAGCAUGAGUAAAGAUGCACGAUCGCAGAAAGCUCCUCAUAGUCAAGUUCUAAUCAUUCAAGAAUCAAAGCAAGCAACAACAGCUUGAAACUGGCUCACCAUUUUGGACUACCAAACUCUGAACAAAUACUUCUGGACUGAAAGGAUGCAUCACCCUCACCCAUGUUCGGCCAGGAAAUUUGCUUUGGACGUCUAGGUUAUGGUAAGCCGCCCUGAUGAUGGAUGUUUGGCCGACAUCACCACAUGUCCGGGUUCAGCUACAAUUGUAGGCGACAUAAACCGGAAAAGGACAGACCGGAGGGAUUAGAGUUUUUUUUUUCCUCCUUUUUUGAGAUGGGGAUUUAAGCAUUCUUAGGACGGAGGAGAGGAGGAGAGCGUGGUGCGGCACGUGACCUCAAUUUCUGUCAUUAGCUUGAAUCGUCACUAUGAACAUGUACUAAAAAGUAAAAAUUAGCAUAAUACUCCGUAGUUGCCAAUGAGUACCCACUAGUAGAGAACUGACUUUCGAUCCACCCCCUUUUAUCCCGGUUUAAAAGUGGCCCGGGACAAAAGGGGGUGCGCCGGGGUGCGGGAAUUUGGAGGGGAGCAUUAGUCCCGGUUGGUAAUUGCAACCGGGACUAAAGGCCCCCCUUUAGUCCCGGUUGCAACGGCUAGCGGGGGGCCGUCGGUGGCGGGACCCUUUUAUCCCGGUUGGAGGAUCCAACCGGGAUAAAAGGGACACCCUUUUAUCCCGGUUGGAGGCACCAACCGGGAUAAAAGGGUUAGUCCCGGUUGGUGCCUCCAACCGGGAUAAAAGGGUGUCCCUUUUAUCCCGGUUGCAUCCUCCAACCGGGACUAACUUUCCAACCGAGACAAAAGGUUUGUCUCGGUUGGAGUUUUUAACCGGGAUUAAAACUCAUCCCCCACUAUACCCCGAGACAGAGACUUUCUUCUUCCUCCAGCCCGAGCAGUCCAGCACAUUGAUAGAGAGCUGAGCUUCACCUACUCUCCGGUGGUGCCCAAGCAAGGGAGGUGCUGCCCGAAGUUUUUUCCCUCAUUUUCGUGGGAAUUUGACUCAGCCAACAAGUGCUGCGAAGGUUUGCUACUUCAUCCUCGUGUUAUGCUUUGAUUUAUGCUUUGGAGAUGGAAAGAUUAUUUGCUACAAUGUGAUGAUGAAGUAGAAAAAUGGAGAGGUAUUUUGAGCUAGAAUGUGAGGGAGAUUGAUGUGUCAUAUAUAGUAUGCAUUAUUUCAGUGGUUUAAAAAUGAUGCUACCUUGUCUAGACGGUUUAUCUUAUCAAAUUCAAUAUGGUUUUUUAAAUCCAUAUACUUGUUGAACUUGCAUACCGUGUUCAUUUCGGCGAGAAUGUUCUCCGCCGAGCAGCAACGUAUGUCAAGAAGGAGGUUCGAUUCUACGAGAAAGAGUGAAUACGGACAUCGUGACCGUGUCCCCUUUUCCGUAGCAUCUAACCUCUUUCAUGACGAAGUGCGGUGCCGCCUAGCUGAGGACAUCCUCGCGAAAUGAACACGGUCUUCAAGUUCAACAACUUCUGUAGUGGUAAGGAAAGAAUUUUUGUACAUAGAUGACUUCUGCUACUUGUUGAACUUGCAUACCGUGUUCAUCUCGCCGAGGAUGUUCUCCGCCGAGCAGCAACGUAUGUCAAGAAGGAGGUUCGAUUCUACGAGAAAGAGUGGAUACGGACAUCGUGACCGUGUCCCCUUUUCCGUAGCAUCUAACCUCUUUAAUGACGAAGUGCGGUGCCGCCCAGUUGAGGACAUCCUCGCGAGAUGAUCACGGUCUUCAAGUUGAACAACUUAUGCAGUGUUUGGGACUUUAAUUUAAAUAUGUGUAUUUGGAUCUUCAUGUUGUUGUAUUGUACCAUGUUGUUUGGAUCUUUAAUCGAUUUUCACGCGUAAUCCAUUGUCAAGUGUAAUCCAUUUUCGUGCGUAAUACGAUGCAGAUGGACCGGCAUUGGAUGUAUAAUGCAGACAGGCGGAGCAAGGUGUUUAUUGAUGGCUUGCAUUAUUUUCUCGAAGUGGCAAAAGCGAACAAGCCAGAGAAUGGGUUCGUAUGUUGUCCAUGCUUCCAAUGCAAUAACAGGAAGGAGUAUUCAAAGGAUUCCUGGGGGAUUAUUCACAGCCACUUGUUUAAAUACGGUUUCAUGCCUAACUAUUUGGUUUGGACCAAGCACGGUGAACUAGGGGUUGUAAUGGAAGAUGGCGAGGAGGAGGAGGAAGAUGACACCAUUCCGGACUGGGUUGCAGGCCAAGCUUUUGCAGGUACUACAAUGGGCGAGGCUGAUGAAGAUGAGUUUGCAGAAAAUGACCCUACUGAUGACCUUGGUCAGGUGAUACGAGAUGCAUACAGAGAUUGCGACACUGAGAAGGAAGCAGCAAAGUUGCAGCGCAUGAUAGAUGAUCACCAAAAAUUGUUGUACCCAGGUUGCCAGCAGGGCCAUAAAAAACUAGGUACGACACUAGAAUUUGUGCAAUGGAAGGCAAAAAAUGGUGUGUCCGAUAAGGCAUUUCAGGGGAUGUUGAGAAUUGUCAAGAAGAUUCUCCCCGAGAAUAAUGAAUUACCGUCCACAACAUAUGAAGCUAAACAGAUUAUUUGCCCUCUCGGAUUGGAUGUUCAGAAGAUACACGCAUGCCCUAAUGACUGUAUCCUCUAUCGUGGUGAUGAAUACGAGGAAUUGGAUGCUUGUCCCGUCUGCGAAGCCCUGCGGUAUAAGAUCAGGCGAGAUGAUCCUGGUGAUGUCGAGGGGCAGUCUCCCAAGAAGAGAGUUCCCGCGAAGGUGAUGUGGUAUUUCCCUAUAAUACCACGCUUGAAGCGCUUGUUCAGGAACAAGACGAAUGCUAAGUUGAUGCGAUGGCACAAAGAAGACCGUAAGGAAGAUGAGAUGCUGAGACACCCCGCAGAUGGGGCACAGUGGAGAUCAAUUGAUAGAACAUUCCCAGACUUUGAAAGUGAAGCAAGGAACAUAAGGUUUGGUUUAAGCACUGAUGGAUUCAAUCCAUUCGGUGAGUUGAGUAGUGGUCAUAGUACUUGGCCUGUGACCCUUUGUAUGUUCAACCUUCCUCCUUGGCUGUGCAUGAAGCGGAAGUUCAUUAUGAUGCCGGUGCUUAUCCAAGGCCCAAAACAACCCGGCAACGACAUUGACGUGUACCUAAGGCCGUUGGUUGAUGACCUUUUACAGCUCUGGAAGGAAGAAGGUGUAUGUGUGUGGGAUGAGGAUAGACAAGAGAUCUUUAAUCUACGAGCACUGUUGUUCGUAACCAUCAACGAUUGGCCUGCAUUGAGUAACCUUUCAGGACAGACAAAUAAGGGAUAUCGGGCAUGCACCCACUGUUUAGAUGACACAGAUAGCAUGUACUUGAAGCACUGUAAGAAGGUCGUCUAUAUGGGUCAUCGUCGAUUUCUCCCUGCUCACCACCAGCUGAGAAAGAGCGGGAUGCAUUUCAAAGGGACGCCAGACCAUCGUAAAAACCUGCACACCGUAAUGGAAAACGUGUGUUCGAGAUGAUGAAGGAUGUACAUGUAGUCUUUGGAAAGGGACUUGGUAGCCAACCUGUUCCGAACGAUGAUAACGGACAUGCACCCAUGUGGAAGAAAAAGUCAAUAUUUUGGGAGCUACCUUAUUGGGAAAUCCUAGAGGUUCGCAACGCAAUAGACGUGAUGCACCUGACGAAGAAUCUUUGCGUGAACGUGCUAGGCUUCAUGGGUGUUUAUGGAACCUCAAAAGAUACAUUGGAAGCAAGACAGGACCUGAAAGCCAUGGGGCAACGAGAUGACCUACAUCCGGAAAAGAGAGAUAAUGGACAGCACUACUUACGUCCUGCCAGUUACACUCUCAGCAAGGAGGAGAAGGAUAGCAUGUUUGAAUGCUUGAAUAGUAUGAAGGUCCCGUCUGGGUACUCCUCGAAUAUAAAGGGAAUAAUAAAUAUGAAACAAAAGAAGUUUACAAAUCUCAAGGCUCAUGACUGCCACAUGUUAAUGACCCAGUUGCUUCCGGUUGCACUGAGGGGUGUUCUACCCGAAAAUGUCCGGUUGCCGCUCGUAAAGCUAUGCGCAUUUCUCAAUGCGAUUUCGCAGAAGGCAAUCGAUCCAUCCAAGCUAUCAAAGCUACAGAACGAUGUGGUGCAGUGUCUUGUCAGUUUUGAGUUGUUAUUUCCACCAUCCUUCUUCAAUAUUAUGACGCACUUACUGGUUCACCUAGUAAAAGAGAUUGGUAUUCUCGGACCUGUAUACCUGCACAAUAUGUGGCCUUUCAAGAGGUUCAUGGCAGUCCUAAAAAACUAUGUUCGUAAUCGUGCUCGUCCAGAAGGAAGCAUCGCCAGGGGAUAUGGAACAGAGGAGGUGAUCGAGUUUUGUGUUGAUUUUAUUGAUUCAAUUGACUCGAUUGGGGUUCCAACUUCACGCCACGAGGGGAGGCUCCGAGGAAUGGGCACCCUUGGAAGGAAAUCAAGUUUGAGCAAUGAUACUAAUUUGUUCGACAAGGCACACUACACUGUUCUACAACAGUCAUCCUUUGUGUCUCCGUAUAUCGAGCAGCACAGGCAGAUGGUAGCUUCCAAAAACCCGACCAAAUCCGAUGCUUGGCUUACCCGUCAUCACAUGGAAACUUUUCCCUCCUGGUUGCGCCAACAACUUAUGGGUAACUCUGAGAUUCACCCACAGCUUGCUUGGUUAGCCAGGGGACCUGCUACCACAAUCGUCAAAUUCCAAGGCUAUGAGAUAAAUGGUUACACAUUUUACACGAGAGCCCAGGACCAGAAAAGCACGAACCAGAAUAGUGGUGUCCGCAUAGAUGCCAUGGACAGAAAUAAUAGCAAGGAGUCGUAUUAUGGUUUCAUACAGGAGAUAUGGGAACUCGAAUACGGACCGCUGUACAUCCCUCUAUUUCUUUGCAAUUGGGUGAAGCUAACUGCCGUCACCAAAGAUCAGUACGGAAUGACAAUAGUAGAUCUGAGCAAGACUGGAUACAGUGAUGACCCAUUCGUACUUGCCAAUGAUGUGCAUCAGGUGUUCUAUGUGAAGGACAUGUGCAGCAAACCCAAGAGGAAUGCAGAAGAGACAUGGGAGCCAAAGUGCCACAUAGUUCUUCCAGGUAAAAGAAAAAUCGUGGGAGUCGAGGAUAAAACAGACCAAUCAGAUGAUUAUGAUCAGUUUGAUGGCAUGCCUCCAUUCGACGUUGAAGUUGAUCCAAGCAUCCUGCUGUCCAAAGAGGAGGCUCCGUACUUACGCCGCGAUCAUGAUCAAGGAACUUUCAUGAAGAAGAAAUUUUACAACGUUGUAUUGUAAUGCGUUAAAUGUGCAUGACCUUUGUGUAUUAAUUGAUACAAUUUGUAAUUUACCCUAUGUAUGAUUUCAUGUGUUAUUAAAUUUGUUAGGUGAAGAUUUUUUAGAUAUACAUGAACAUUGUUAACCACAUACUAACAUGGAUUUUUCUGCGCAUUCAAAUAAUUUAAUUGAAUAAUUUAUUGAUCACAGCAAUGCAGUAAAAUAAAUAUUUUACAGGCUACAUGAGUUGGUAUAGAAAUAAUGAUUACUUCAUACUUAUUGUCAAUUUACUCGUUAAUUAAAUAUAUUUUUGCAUGUACAAAAUCUGAGAAGGUUUUGUUUUUCAUCCUGGAAUGCAGUGAAAAGGUUAAAUAAAAUCCAUUUCCAAAAAACAGGCGGGAGAAGAAAAAUAGGAAAAAGGACCUUUUGUCCCGGGUGCUAACAGCAACCGGGACAAAAGGCCCCCCUUUUAUCCCGGUUGCAAACGGCAACCGGGAUAAAAGGGUACGUUUCGUCUCCCGCCCGAACGUACCCUUUUAUCCCGGUUGCCAUUUGCAACCGGGACAAAAGGCCCCCCUUUUAUCCCGGUUGGUGACGGGACCCGGGAUAAAAGGGUGCGCUCCCAGCCCCACCUGGCGGGGGCACCCUUUUGUCCCGGGUCCCGUUACCAACCGGGAUAAAAGGGGGGGGGGCCUUUUGUCCCGGUUGGUAACGGGACCCGAGAUAAAAGGGUGCCCCCGCCAGGUGGGGCUGGGAGCGCACCCUUUUAUCCCGGGUCCCGUCACCAACCGGGAUAAAAGGGGGGGGCCUUUUGUCCCGGUUGGUGACGGGACCCGGGACAAAAGGCUCUUUUGUCCCGGGUGCCAUUACGAACCGGGAUAAAACGGGGGGGGGGGGGGGGGGUUUAAAAGCACUGUACUCCCUUCUACCCCCCGCCAGUUCCACACUUAGCGAAAUUUUCGCAAGUCCCGCGCUCUCCGCCCGUCGCCGCCUGUCCGCCUCCCUCGCCGGCCGCCGCCGUCGUCGUCCCCCAUUGCGCCGUCGAAGUCCCGCAUUGCACCGUCGUCGUCGCCCGUCCGCCUCCCUCGCCCGUCGCCGCCCGUCCGCCUCCCUCUCCGCCCGUCGCCGCCCGUCCGCCUCCCUCGCCGGCUGCAUCGCCCCUCGUCGCCGGCUCCAUCCUCGUCGCCCCUCGUCGCCCCUCGCCGGCCGCCGUCGUCGUCUUCGCCUCGGCCGCCGUCGUCCCGCCGUCGUCGUCUUCGUCCUCGUCGCCGCCCCGGCCGCCGCUGUCCCGCACGCCGCCCGGCCGCCGCCGUCCCGCCGUCACGCCGCCCCGGCCGCCGCCGUCAGGCCGCCCCGGCCGCCGCCGUCCCGCCGCCCCGGCCGCCGCCCCGCGCGCGAGAGGUCUGCCGCGCCGGCCGGUGCGCCGGGAGAGCUGGCCGUUUUCUUUUAAUUUUUAAUUUUGUUUUUUUUAGAUGGAAUUGUAAUUUUGUUAAGUUAGAUUUUUAGAUUUCUAAUUUUGUUAAGUUAGAUUUUUAGAUUUCUAGUUAGUUUGUUAAGUUAGAUUUGUAGUUAGGUUGUUAACUACCGUCCCGCCGUCGUGAUCGCCGCCGUCCCGCCGAGUAGCUACCGUGAGAGUCGCCUUGUAGCCGUCGUGAUCGCCGCCGUCCUGCCGCCCAUCAGAACGUAGUAGCUUAGGCACCGCCCGUGGUUCCGGUGAACCGCCUCCGCCGCCCUGACCGCCGCCGUCCCGCCUUCGCCGCCCUUAUCGCCGUCGUAGAAAUUCGUAGAAAUUCGUCAAAAUUCGUAGAAAUUCGUCAAAAUUCGUAGAAAUUCGUCAAAAUUCGUAGAAAUUCGUCAAAAUUCGUAGAAAUUCGUCAAAAUUCGUAGAAAUUCGUCAAAAUUCGUAGAAAUUCGUCAAAAUUCGUAGAAAUUCGUAGAAAUUUGUAGAAAUUCAUAGAAAAUCGUAAAAAUUUGUAGAAAUUCAUAGAAAUUCGUAGAAAUUUGUAUAAAUUCAUAGAAAUUCAUAGAAAUUCGUAGAAAUUUGUAUAAAUUCAUAGAAAUUCAUAGAAAUUCAUAGAAAUUCAUAGAAAUUCAUAGAAAUUUGUAUAAAUUCAUAGAAAUUUGUAUAAAUUCAUAGAAAUUUGUAUAAAGAUUCCGGACUUUGUACGAUUCAUGUUAUUUUAUGAUUUCAUUAUAUACAUGUAUGAUUCUGAACUGUGAUUAUAUACAAAUUUGUAUUAAGACGAUUUCUAUGACUGUCAUGUAUGAUUCCAUGUAUGUUUGCAGCAAUAGUUGAAAUGGCAGACGAUGAGACCGCAAGGUAUAUCAUGGAGCAGAUAAUCGCUGGUGAUGGUAGUGGCGACAACGUUCCACUAUCAUACACGGAUGAAGAGGGCACCCAGGCGGACAUGUUCCUCAACAUGUCUGCCGAUGUGAAUGAAGAGCAACAGCCGCAGCAACAACUUGCCGUGGCGGAAGGUUCCGGCGAGGUAUAUACAACCAUUCUUGUAUUGUUUCACGCCACCGCUACUAGUACGUACUAAUUAACGAAUCUUAAACUGUUAGCCCUCCGGAUCGACACAAGGGCAGAAGACCCGAGGUCGUACAAAGGUGAUGGAAGGGAGGCUUGUCAUCACCGAAGUUACAGAUGAGGGCAGGCCGGUUGCUCCCGAGAAAGUCGCAAAGAAGUACGUUGGUCAAAUCGGGGCAAUCGUCCGGGACAACGUGCCUAUCAGCAUCAGAGAAUGGAAGGGCAGAAGCGAUAAUCCGUACGCCCUUCCAGAGACAGAAAAGAAUAUGCUGUGGGAAGACGUGAAGAGGCAUUUCACAUUCCCCGAAGAUUAUAGCGAGAAGGAUGUCAAAGCGUGGACACUUAAGAAGAUGGCUACUCAAUUCCAGACAUUCAAGAAGAUGCUGGACACCCACUACAUCAUGAAGGGCAAAACUCCAGACUUCAACGCGUGGCCCAAGUUGAGGGACCACUGGGAUGCAUUUGUUGAAUACAAGAGGAGUGAAGAAGGUGUGAAAAAGAUCACGACCAACGUUGCAAAUGCUAGUCAGAAGGGCUACCACCAUCAUUUGGGGCGAGGUGGGUAUGGCUCAGCAAUUCCCAAGUGGAGAAAGAUGGAACAAGAUCUGAUCGAACGGGGAAUCAUACCUGCAACUAUUGAAUGGCCCGAACGAUCAAAGAACUGGUACUACGCUCAUGGAGGCUCCCUAAGCUAAGAGGAUGGGACGCUGAUUUUCAAUGACAGAAUACGUGAGAAGGCCGAACAUCUCAUGAAGAACAUUGAAGAUUCCAAGGCUGGGAGGUUGAGGGUGGACCGAGAAAAUGAUGAGCUCACAUUGGCCCUCGGUAAUCCAGAGCACCCAGGACGUUGCCGGGGGUUCGGGGUGGUUCCGUGGAAGUUCGCUUUCUGAGGCGACAGCGCCUCUUACAGAAGCCGGAAGCGAAGAAAGGAACAGAUGGAGGAGAGCUGGCGGCAGAUGCUAGAACAACGAAUGAUGGAUGAAAUCAAUCGGCGGGUGGCCGACGCAGUUGCGGAGUUGGCGCAAUCUGGAGCACUGCCGAAUCCUCACACCGCCAGCCCUUCUCAAUGCCUCGGGAGCAGUUGUGCUUCUACAGGGGUCCCCAAUGCGCAGACGCCCAGGUUACCCGUGGAGGAGCAACGGUUCCCCGUGGAUGCCAUCACGCAACGGACCUCAUGUGAGCUGCAUGCACCGGUCGGCAACCUCACUAUUAAGGUAUACUUAUACAUAAUAUUUAUGCAAUCUUGUCAAUUGAUCCAGGCCUCGAGAUCGGAGUUCAACUUGUUUACUUCUGCUAUAUGUAUAGGUAGCGUACGGGAGUGCGUUACCAACGCUGGCAGGGCAGAGCAGUCAUGGCAUGGACAUUCCAACAGGCUACGCCAGCGUCUGCGUCGAGCAAAUAGUAGAUGCCCAGUAUGAAGGUCUAGAGCUCGACUUCCCGGGAGGCGACGGGGAAAAGACAUUGGCAGAUGCGCUUCAUGGGAUCAUUCUAUGGAAGAAACGCUACAUCAUUAUUUCCCGCACGGAGCCAUCUCCUCAGACCUCAAGACCGCUCCCCGUAGAUCCCGAGCAGCGAUCUUCUCCUCAUACCUCGAGACCGGCAUCUCCUGCUCCAGGACCGUCGCUUCCAUCUAUAUCAAGGUCUCCAUCUCCACCACAUCCUGGUGCUGGGAGCGACGACGACAAUAACAACACCCCUCCCCGAUCACCGUCGCCGGCACCAAGAGCGGCCCCCUCGAAGGAACCUGCAGCACCACUCAAGAAGUCACGAGCACCGCCUCCCAAGCAAAGAUAGCCUCGAAAGAAGAAAACAAAGGUCGACCCUGAAGUGGCUCGCAAGGAACACUUUGAGGCAAUGUCUCAUGCGGAACAGUGGGCAGAAAUCCAACGAGAGGCCAGUGAGUGGUUCAAGAAACAAGCCGAAUUAAAAAAGGCAAGGGAGAUGGAGCCACCGCCAGUAAGUCGGCGGGAUUUAAACUUUUUUAUCAGGAUGGAGGAAGGAGCCAAGAAAAGGAUACCACUCUUGUCAAACUAUGAACGGGCUCUAGUAAAGGCUGAUGAAAAGGAUAAAAGAAAAGGAAAAUCAUCCUCCAGCGGUUCAGUCCCCGACCUCAGCCAUUUAUCAAAGAAAGAUGCUCAACGGGUAAAAGCAAUGCCCUUGGAUCAACAAGAAAAUAUAUUGAAGUUCAUGGAAGAAACAGGUCUGGGACUUGAUGAAUGCAUAGGGCAAGUCGAGAUGCCAACUGCACCGCCCCCUGAGCCGAGAUGGCCUUAUGAGCUAGGCAAGCCUCUAGUGAAGCCGGCAAUGGUACGGAAGCUGUCAACAAAGAUGUACGAAUUCCAUCAAUGGUACAUGACGGCAUCCGCCAAAUCGAGGGAGAUGAUCGGCAUGAAGGUAAAACCGAUAGAUUUUCACGGUGAAGGGGAGAAAGUGCUGUGGCUAGACUUCAAGGAUAUAUACGAAGUGUACCAUCAUGAUGCCCUGGACGUCUCUCUGAUCAACGCUUGGAUUCUGUAAGUGUCCGUUUAUUAUCUCUACAUGUAAAUUUUGGCGUGCGUCACCGUACUAACUUCAUCUUCCAUUUCAUGUAGGAUGCUAAUUCAGACAUGCCGCCGAGAGGCGUACCUACAUGUAGGCUUCAUGGAUCCAUCUGUAGUUAACCAACAACAGAUACAAUUAGCGCCGGAAAAAACCUUUGCCGAAAUAUACAAUUUCCUACACAAACAAACAUUCAAGGACUUCAUACUACUUCCAUACAACUUCAAGUAAGUGUGUGUAUACCGUCUACUUUCGAUGUCUUUUUCCUUAUCUCUACAUGUUAGUUAGCUCUAAUAUGCAUGAACAUUUUACGCACGCAGCUUCCACUGGAUCCUUAUUAUAAUUGAGCCUGAAAGAAGCCACGUCACUGUCUUUGAUUCAUUACGGAAAGAUCCGGUGGACUACCAAGAAUUGCAAGACAUGCUAGGCUUGUAAUAAUUCUGGACCUUUAUCUCUAUGCAAAAAUUUAUUUCCUAAAUUUUAUCCCUGUUACACUAUGUCAUUCAUUAUUCUAAUCCGCAGCGUAUGGAAACAAUUCAUAAGGACACACAAAGGUCCAUUCAAAGAAGAUCUUACAUGGAACACAGACUUCCCGGUACGUAUGAAGUCUGCACAUUUAUUACAUUGUAUAACACGAAUAUUUCAUAACUUAUUUUUUUUCCGCACUGAAGUGCUUAAGACAGGAACCCGGGAAUAACCUAUGUGGCUACUACAUCUGUGAGCACAUGCACAGUUUUUUGGGACCCAAGGGACCGAAGAUGACGCCGCACAACUUUAAAGUACGUAAAAUAAAUAUAUUACUAGUUAAUUAUUUUCUAGCUCCUUAUAUGUAUUUGUUCAUGUAACAUUCACAAAUUUCCAAAUUAUAGAUGUUAAAUAUUCAACAAGGACUCUUGAAGGAAGAAAGAGUAGCGGCAAUAUGUGAAGGUCUCAUUGGAUUCAUAAUGGACGAGGUGGUAAAUCCAAGAGGAGAAUUUUAUUACGAUGGACGACAAUUAGACACUCCUCUCAGCAACACCACGACGGGAAGAUCGUAGGAAGAUACUUUGAUUUAUUUGUAUAUAUGAUCGAUUUGUACUAAUUAAGCUAGUUGAAUUGUGUAUAUGAAUUGUGUAUAAGGAUUGUGUAUAUAUAUAGUAGUUGUAUAAUUACAAAUCCCAUUCGUUUAAAUACUAGUUGAUUUAAUUCAUUCUAAAAAAAUCUCAACUACAAGGUUAACAAAUUAAAAGGGCCGCGGUACUACUAUACGUAUACGUGAUGCAUGCAUGAAAAAUUCAGGCGUCACCAGUGCCAUGCAAGCGCAAUUUAGUCCCGGUUGGAAUUGAGCCGGGACUAAAGGGGACCCCUUUAGUCCCGGUUGGUAAAUCCAACCGGGACUAAAGGGCCUGUCCCGCGCCUGGCGUGGCAGGCCCUUUAGUCCCGGUUGGUGACACCAACCGGGACUAAAGGGGGUCCUUUACUCCCGGUUAAAAUACCCGGGACUAAAGACCCCCCCCUUUUGUCCCGGUUGGUUUAUCCCGGAUGGAUAUCCGAGAGAUAUGACCCUUACCAACCGGGACUAAUGCUCAGUUUUCUACCAGUGACCGGACUCAACUACACAAACUGCUUUCAUACGACACAAAUCAACUAGAAGGCUCUUGCUCCGGCAUACCAGCCAUCCUGAUAGAGCUUCUGGUCACCUACGGAUGUCGGAGACGAUACUUUUAAAAAGUAUUGUUGUGUAUUGGUGAAUCUUUCUUGCCGUUGGCAAAUUACAUGCCUUUGCAGAUCACGUAAGUAUGGUCAUUUGGUCCAACAUGCAACAACCACAGCAACAGCUAGCUGCUUACUCAAUCUAGUCAUUAGUCAAGAUCACAGUAAAAACGCACUCUGAUCCAUCCGUAGCUACAAUGGCAUCAGCAGGAACAGGAAGCAGCUAAGGUAUAUUCCAAAUCCUUUGGAAGGUGACGAAGGUAUUAGCAUGACCACCCCCCUCCGCCGGUGACCAUCCCGGUCCCGGCGUCCACCCCGCCCCGCCGGUGGUCACCCCGACCCCGGCGUACACCUAGUCCCGCCGGUGACCACCCCGGUCCCGGCGUCCACCCCGCUACGCCGGUCACCAUCAUAGUCCCGGCGUUCACUCUGCUCCGUCGGCUCCCUCUCCGGCUCAGGAGACGCUGAUCAUCACCCCAGUUCCGGCGUCAACACCUCUACGUCGGUAUCAUUGCUUGAUCCGGUGCCCACACCCUGUGUAUGGAUCACUGGCGCAGACCUUUGUUCGUGAGUGCAUCCUUUGAAGCUUCCAUCCGGACAACAGCACAGGAGGAAGGUAUCUUCGCAGCUUGACUUGGAAGAGGUUACCCUCUUAACAUCCUACUACAUCUCUUUGCUCUCCGCGUUUGAUCUUAGAUAUGGAUCAUACAAAAUUCAACUUUAGCCUGGGAGAAGACUUUAGUCGGCUGGUUAUGAAUAAGAUUGGUACUCAGGUUACUCUGGAUGAAACAAAAGCAGGAAAUGGUUUUCACCUGCUGGUGGUGUUUAGCAGAAACAGAUUUCGAUUAUCUGCAGAAACAGUAAACACUUGUCUUAACUCUAUUUUGGGAGGAAAAAAGGAAUCAUUCAUGGCAGAAGAAUUAGAAGAACAAAUCUUCAAAUUCAAGGUUUCAUCAAGAGAGGUUGGAUUUCUGAUAGUUAAUCAAGGUCUAGUUCUCUGUGAUCUAUUCAAGCUCUCAUUCUUCCUGCUGAAUGAUGAUGGAUUUGCCAAGGCAUUGAAAUUUGCAAAACAGGAUUCUGGACCUUUGUAUUAUUGGCAAUCUGCUAAAAAAAAAGAAAUCCACGUUGUUGUCCCAGGUACAACAUCCUUACUCUCAUCUUUUAUCUGGAGCCAAUUUAACUCCCCUGGGUUUUAGAGGUCAUGAAUCCAGAAAUAUUGCCACUAGGCUUAAACGCCCUGUUUCUUAUGCUGACAUGGUUAGAAACCACCCCAAAACCUUUCCUGGGGAAAAAGUUUCUCUUCAUAAUAGAGAGAUUUCCUCUGGUAGCCCCUCUUCCCAUAUAGUGCAAAGGGAAAAAUUCUAUCCUGCACCUAGGAAAUCUGUCUUUCAAAGAAUGCAAAACUUGCCUAGACAGUCAGUUUUCGAAAGAUUACAAAUCCCAAGAAAGGCUGCACCCAGAUUUGAACCUUGGCAUUGGAAUAGGAGCAAGAGACAGAAAAUCUCUGAUCCAAGAUAUCCCAGAUACCCCAGGGCUAACAUCUCGGAAUAUGUUCAUGCUUGGACUGAAAAAGACCAGCUCCCAUCUGCCAACCGCUCAAGGAGGUUCUCACCUCAUUGGCUGACUUGUUGGCACUGUAAUCAAGUAGGACACAACUUCCAAACCUGCUCUAGGAGGUUAAGCCUUCAAAAAUUUACGGCAGCUUUUGCCUCGAGGCCUGGCAGUAGCUUUUCCUCGGUAAUUGACGAAAACGGUUGGCCAAGGGAUAUUGGGCUGCGUUGGUUUAAAGCAGGCCAAAAAAUGUCUACUGGGAUAGCCCAAGAAAGCCCACCGGGCACUAUUCCCCUAAAAAAUUUGGGGAAAAUUGAGUGGAGAAUACGAGGAGACACUCCUUCUCCUUCCUCCUCGUUGCCACACAGUACUCCACAGCAACAGCCUGACCCAAAUCAAGAACUCCUCCAUCCUUCCCUUGCCGAGGAUAGAGAGCAAGAACACUCCGCCACCAGCAUGGCCUUCCUAAAUGUGGAUCCAGAACCACUUAUGUUCCCUGGCUUCAAUCGAGUCUUGGUUCAAGGACGACCCAAGUUCACCAGGGUGGUCACUCCAAGAAGCUCUCCGGCGAAUGAAGAUCUUGCGAUCGUCACUGUUUCAAACUUCCCCCCUGGUGAGAUUCCAUUCAAUGCUGUUCAACAAGCUAUAGUUGGGUUGAUUGAGGAUGAUUAUGAGCUUCGUAUCAAAGAAAUCCAAAGAAGCCCUUUUCACAGAACACAAGCUUUUGUCAGACUUAAUAGAGUCACUAAUAGAGAUGCUCUAGUGCAGCAUAGUCCACUUCAAAGCAAUGGUCUUUCAUUUGUUUUUGUCAGGCAUAAUAGAGGCCCCAAUGCCAGGAGAGUGCUAUUCAAUAGAGAAUGUUGGCUACUCUUGAUUGGUUUUCCAAUAGAUUCUAGAGAUAUUGAGGACAUCCGAGAUGCUAUAAAAUCUUUUGAGAGAUUGAUUUGUUGGCAGAAAGACAAUGUCAUGGCUAGGGUGGUUGUUAAAGUCAGAGUCACAGAACUGGAAGAUAUACCACACUACCUGGUUUUUUCAGAGGGGGACGACUUUGAAGGAAUUUCAACCACUGUUCAAGUAGAAAUCAUGCAGCAAAACAUGCUUGGAGGGCAGCUACCAGAUGAAGACAUUCCCCCUCCAGGCUAUGAUGAUGAUUUUGUGUUUCCAGGGCUACAGGCACAUAAUGCAAAUGACAACCAUCAGAUGCCCCAGCAACAAAUCCAAGUUCAGCAAAAUCCACCUAUGGAUGCACAGAUGCAUAAUCAUCAGCAACAGGUAGCUCUCCCAGACUUGAAUGAUGAUCCAGAAGAAGAGGAUCAUAUACAAGAACAAAUGCAGCAACUCAUGGAGGACUUGGAAAAUCAAGCACCAGAACAGAUGGAACUGCAACAGGAUCAGCAGCAAGAAGUUAUGGAUCUCCAGCUUAGUUUGUCCUUAUCUUUACCACCCAACUCGAGCAACAGCAUAGAGGGAGGAAGAAAAGGCUCAGAGAAAAGUGUCGAAGGAACAUCACACCAGCAAGGACAUUUGAAUGAACAACCUGAGAUAGUGUUGGGACUUCCCGCCAUAAUCAAUAUGAAUAUUCAAGGGGAACAGCAUAUGGGCCCACAACAUGGAGAAGAGAAUGUUGGAGCAAAUUUCUUCCUACCAGACUUUCUUAACCCCAUCCAACUUAACUAGGAAGAGGGGGAAGAACAAGGGGCUCAGAUCAACAUGAACAUUGAUGUCAACAUGCUCAUCACCCAAACAGACUACAAUAAUAGGAUGGACCCAGGAUGGGCUGCAAGGGUUGGCAAAGCAAAGGUAGACAAGGCAGAAAACCCAGACUGGCAACACAUCUGGGCACAUCUCUUCCCCACCAACGACACUCCUAAACAGGUGACAACAAUACCUGCUGAUUGGGCACCCUUUUUCAUUAAUAAGCUCUCUACACCUUCUAGAUUUGAUUGGGCCAGAGCCUUUCUUACAUCAAAUGCUAUUGCUCUCUUGUCUUCAAGUGCUACAAAUCUCAAUAUGAUAUCCUUCCAAUUACCAAUGGCUUGCUCUCAACAUGAUCUACCUAAAUGUUCCCUGUCAGAACUCAAAGAUAAUGAAUCUAAUGAGGAUUCUCCUGCUGAUAACCCCUGUCAACAGAAAAAAAUGAGAAGAGAAGAGCCUCAAGUGGAGAUACAAGCUCGGCGCAGUCCAAGAAUUCGACUACGCAAUGCCGGCUUCAAACACUCCAACUGUACCUCCAAGAAAUGUCUUGCAUGUGCUACAGUCCCACCCACCCUAUCAAGUAAAGCUAUGAUGACGGUUGGAACAGAUCAUUGCAAGAUCAGUAAAGAAAAGCUGACUGAGGAGGCGCUCAAAACAAAGAAACAGAAGCAGGCACCAAUUGGGGCAGGAAGAUCUGCUGAAUCAAGGAACAAGGACUCCAUAGAGGAGGGGGAAGGAUCCACAGUCUGAAGAAGAAGCUAUCAAGCUUUUUGGACCAUCUGACAGCUUUUGUCUUUGUCAAAUGCUAGCAAUUUGUAACAGAACUCGAAGGGUCAGGAGUGGAGACUUUUGUAUCUUCCUAAACUUUAUGUCGUUAUUUUGUGAUCAUAGUGAUCGGCAGACCAGGAAAACAAGGGUGGUAACAGUUUUUGUGAUGGAAAAGACAAUCCUUAACAUGGCAACAUUCUAUGAUAACCUUGCUUGUUGGUUUUUUCAAUCUUUUUGUACCUUGCUAGAUGGGAUUCUUUUGUCAGCCUCUACAAUAGGUUUCCUAGAGGUUUUAUUUACGAAAUUCUGGCCUCUGCCUCAAUGACCGAACAUCUUUAACUCUUAUCAUGAAUCUAAUGAAUCGCUCACAAGGGAAAAAGGAGUGGAAGAUCUUGUCUUGGAAUAUUAGAGGAAUAAAUUCAGAUGCAAAAUGGAAUGCAAUCAGGAGCAAAAUCAUAGAAGCAAGGUGUGAUGUGGUAUGUCUACAGGAAACAAAAAGGGAUUCUUUUGACCAGGCUUACAUCAAAAAAUUUUGUCCCCCCCAGCUGAAUGAGUUCUUCUAUAACCCAUCUGUUGGGUCCUCAGGGGGAUCUAUCAUCAUCUGGAAUAACUUGAAAUUUGAUGGUGUUCUGGAAUUUCAAAACUCUUAUGCACAGUCUAUUCUCCUCACUUGUAAAGGGACAGGGGAAUCCUGGUACUUGUCAAAUAUCUAUGCACCUUGCACUACUGAAGGAAAACGAGAAUUCAUACAAUGGUUCAAAGCAGUGGAGAUGGGAGAAGAAGACAAAUGGCUAGUAGUAGGCGAUUUCAAUCUCAUAAGAAGACCAGAAGACAGGAAUAAGCCUGGAGCCAACUGUCAGGAGAUGUUAGCCUUUAAUAACGCAAUAAGCAAGCUAAGAUUGGUAGAACUACCUCUAAAGGGGUGCAGAUUCACGUGGACAAAUAAGCAACAUAACCCCUUGCUGGAAAGAUUGGAUUGGUUUUUCACCUCAAAAGCUUGGACGACCUGCUUGCCCAAUUCCUUUGCAAUAGGACUUUCUAGAGAUAUCUCAGAUCACACGCCAUGUGUGAUAACAGCCCAAACAAGCAUGCCACAAUCAUCCUCCUUCAGGUUUGAGAAUUAUUGGUUACAACAUGAAAGUUUUCUGCCUAUUUUACAGCAUGCAUGGAGCCUACAAUCCCCACAAGAGGACCAGGCUAUGAAGAUUAUUGGAAAACUUAAAAAGCUAAGAAGGAUCCUCAAAAUGUGGAAAUCGCACUUACCAAGUCUAGAGAAAACUAUACAGAACAACAAAUCAACUCUACAAUUCAUGGACCUAAUAGAGGAGUCAAGAGAUCUCAGUAUAGAAGAAUGGAACUUUAGACAUUUGGUGGAACAGAAUUUGGAACAGCUACUUCUUCAGCAGAGAACUUACUGGAAGCAAAGGGGGAAGGUUAGAUGGAUAAAAAUGGGGGAUGAAUGCACAAGAUUUUUCCAUGCACAUGCAUCUAUCAAGAAAAGAAGAAAUACAAUAACCCAUCUAAGAGAUGAAGGGGGUACUCAAACAACUCAACAUGAAGCUAAAGCUGACAUACUAUGGAAAUCCUUUAAAGAAAGGUUAGGGGUAUCAGAAUACACACACAUGUAUUUCCAGCUACAAGACUUAUUCCAACAGGAGGAUAACCUGGACAUUCUGGAUGAACCAUUUUCAAAGGAAGAAAUAGAUAAGGUAAUCACAGAACUUCCAAACGAUAAGUCGCCUGGGCCGGACGGAUUCAAUGGAGAAUUUAUCAAAAAAAGCUGGCAGGUUAUAGCAGAAGAUUUUUACAAACUUUUCCAAGACUUCUAUGACAAUAACAUUUGCCUACGAAGUAUCAACUCCUCAUAUAUUACCCUCAUCCCUAAGAAAGAAAGCCCGAUGGAUGUGGGAGACUACAGACCCAUUUCGUUGCUUAACUCGUCUCUUAAAAUAAUUACCAAGCUUCUGGCGAUAAGAUUACAACAAGUGAUCAAGAAUAUGAUACAUCAGAACCAAUAUGGCUUCAUUAAAUCCAGGAGCAUUCAAGACUGUUUAGCAUGGGCCUAUGAGUACUUACACAUCUGUAAUAAAUCAAAAAGGGAACUGAUCAUCCUCAAAUUAGACUUUGAAAAAGCGUUUGAUAAAAUUGAACACAAGGCCAUUAUAGAAGUUUUGAAGCACAAAGGGUUUGGGCCCAGAUGGUUAAAUUGGAUCCAAGAUAUCUUAGCAACAGGAACAUCUUCGGUUCUACUAAAUGGAGUCCCAGGGAAAGUAAUCCACUGCAAAAGAGGAGUUCGGCAAGGAGACCCACUGUCUCCACUUUUAUUUGUCCUGGCAGCUGAUCUUCUUCAAACCAUAGUAAACCAUGAAAAAGACUUAGGCAGUCUCAACCUUCCCAUUCCUCAGGGAGCAGGGACAGACUUCCCCAUAGUCCAAUAUGCUGAUGAUACACUGCUAUUCAUGGAAGCCUGCCCCAGACAGCUUUUGAAGUUGAAAGAAAUCCUGCACAUAUUUGCUCUGUCGACUGGGCUCAAGGUUAAUCACGGAAAAUCGACAAUGAUGUCGCUGAACAUCACAAAUGACAGAUUAGCCAGCCUAGCACAGAUCUUUGAAUGUCAACACAGUUCAUUGCCUUUCACAUAUUUAGGCUUGCCUCUGGGAACGACCAAGCCAAACAUGGAGCAUUUCAUGCCUCUCCUACAACGAAUUGAAAGGAGGCUAAAUUCCAUGUCCAUGUUCUUAAGUCAAGGGGGAAAACUAGAAAUGGUCAACUCAGUUUUGUCCUCAUCAGCUGUGUUUUAUAUCUCUACCAUCAGACUUCACAAAGGGGUGAUAAAACAGAUUGAUAAGUUUAGAAAGCACUGUUUAUGGAAUGGAGCAGAUCCAAGCUCCAAAAAACCUUCAAAAGCAGCAUGGCCAAUAGUAUGUACACCCAAGGAUUGUGGGGGCCUGGGAGUUAUCAAUAUUUAUGCACACAAUGAAGCCCUCCUUAUGAAGUUUCUACACAAAUUCUAUACAGAAGCAGAUACACCAUGGGUCAACUUGAUCUGGAACAGCUAUUAUCACAAUGACACACUACCUGGAACACAGUCCAAAGGAUCCUUCUGGUGGAGGGAUGUCCUUAAGUCGCUCGACAAAUACAAGGGCAUAGCCUCGGCUACGAUAGCAGAUGGCUCAACAGUCUUCUUCUGGCAUGAUCUCUGGAAUGGAAUAAUACCAAGUCAGACUUACCCAGAGUUGUUCUCCUUUGUCAAAGAAACUAACAACACGUACAAGACAGUAUAUGGAAGGACCAACUUCAUACAAAACUUCAGCCUUCCCCUCUCUGCCGAGGCACAUAGGCAAUACUUGGAUUUGCAACAAUUUAUUGAGAGAAUCAUACCAAUAGCAAACAGAGAUGUCUGGUCAUACACAUGGGGAACAACGAAAUACUCAUCACAGAAAGCAUAUAAAACAAUCAUUGGCCACCGUAUUGUUCAUCCAAGCUUCAAAUGGUUAUGGAGGUCAAAAUGUCAAAAAAAAACACAAAUUAUUCUUCUGGCUACUUCUCAGAGACCGACUAAACACAAGAGACCUUUUAGACCGAAGACACAUGCAGCUCGAGUCACAAACUUGUGAGAUGUGCAUUUGGCAGAAAAGAGAAACAGUUAAACACCUUUUCUUCUGCUGCAGAUUUGCCAAAGCUUGUUGGAACAGUAUAGGGAUAACAUAUACCUCCACAAGGACGAUUCAGAAUAUUAUCUUACAAAUUAAAAACAAGCUACAGGUUCCCUUCUAUAUGGAAAUCAUCAUUUUGAUAGCUUGGAGCAUAUGGACAACAAGGAAUGGAUGGUUUUUCAACAAUUUGGCUCCAUCUCCUGGGGUUUGCUUGCAAAAAUUCACGUCGGAAUUCAAAGACAUUUUACUAAGAGUAAAGCCAAGAUAUUUGCAACAAAUGGAAAUUUGGCUCCAUCUGUUCGCCGUUCAUUAGCAAGGGCUCUUUGUUUUGUUUUCGUUACCGGUACUCUUGCCUACCUUCCUUUGCUUUCUAGGUCUCUCUUUCUUUAUUUUGUUUAUUCCUUUUUUUUUACCUGUUCUAUUUCUAUUUCUCUUUGUUGACUCUUUUGAACUUGUAAUGCUUCAUUUCUAAUUUAAUAUAACCAGUAAGGGGCCCGCACCCUUCCUGUUUUCUCAAAAAAAAAUCAACUAGAAGCCGGCCGGAAUCCCAAUGGAGAUGAAAUGAUGCUAAGCCUUCCUUCUUCGUCUGGUGGAGUUCAGGACGCGUCGGCUACUCGGCUGUAUUUGCGUGAAGCAAAAUACCAUUUUGGGCAAGGGCCGAAAAUGUCCGCAACAUGGCAUCUGAAGCCCGUGGGCCCACCACGAGCUUGUAGUUCUCAAGCAUCAAGCCACCAUUUCUUUGUGGCAACUACUCAUCGCACUUCAUGGGGAUCAAGCGACAAAUCUAUUGGCAAAACCUCAGUAGGUGAACGAGCUGGAUAUAUAUACCCACGCUUGGGAUUCAUGCCUUAUAGUGGUAAUAGAAUCUCCUGAUCAACGCAGAAAAAUGCAAAAGGAACAAAAUUUGGCCAUUUGAUUGGUUUGAAUAGCUAUUGGGAUUUGCAGCCAUACACAAAUAGCACCACUUGAUUCAUCGUGGGGAAGAAACAUCUUCAUAAAAAAUUCAUAAAAAUCCAUUAUGAUAUAUAUGUACUAGGGCAUAAUAAGUUUAAGCGAGCAAGCCAUCAAGCUUAAUUACGUGCUACAGUACUGUAUCAAGCACGUACGAAAGAUCUCAUACGAAUCAACGAAUAAGAUAGAUAGAUAGAUGUCAGAGGCAUAGUACUAAUAAUAGGAUUAUCUAUGAUAUUAAGUACCCUUGUCUUCCUCGCCAAAAAAAAAAGGAAACUUAUCAUAGAAUGCAUAAACACCAGUGGAAAACUCGGUAUUCGUCCCGAGACUUAGUACUGGGUGGUUUUUGAACCGGUACUAAUACUCAGCAUUAGUAUCGAGUCUAACGGCUAGUUCCUAGGAGCCCCCCUGACCCCCUUUAGUACGGUUGGGGGCUUCAACCGUACUAAAGGUCACCCAUUAGUACCGGGUGGAGUCUCCACCCGGUACUAAUGGGUGACCUUUAGUACCGGUUGGAGUCCCCAACCGGUACUAACUUCGCUCCUAUAAAUCAAGCGUCUUCUUUCUCCUGCUCGAGCCAUUUCCUCCAGUUCAAGCUUCAUCCAUUCAUGGCGAAAUAGGGGAGGUGCUGCCAGAUUUUUGACCAUUUCAUGGGGAUUUCACUCAUUCAAGUGUUCUAAAGGUUAGAAACUUCAUCCUCCCUUCAUACAUGGUUAGUAUACUAAGUUUUAUGCUUUAGAGCUAGAGUAAUCUGUGACUUUUAGAAUAAGGUAUAAUGGAGAAAUUUUUUAUUUAUAUGCAUGUGUUAUUUAGAGCUCAUAUUUGUGAUUUUUAGAAUAAGCUAUAAUUUUUUAGAUGCUAUGUUGUGUAUUAGUCAAAAAAUUAAUAUGAGGUUAGAGGAAUAAUUUCAUAGUUUAGUAUUUUACAAAUAUGAGCUAAAUAAAUUAUGGGAAAAAAUAUAAUUUGUUUGUAUUUUAGUUAUUUGCAAAUAUGAGCGAGAUAAAUUGUGGUACAUAGAGAUAAUAGGAUAAAAUAGAGGUAUGUAAUUAGUUAUUUUUAGAAUAAGCUACAAUUGAGAAAGUUUUUAUUUAUAUGUUAUGUUUGAGCUAAAUAAUUUGUGGGGAAAAAAUAAUUUGUUCAUAGUUUAGUCAUUUGCAGAUGAGCUAAAUAAAUUGUUGUACUUAGAGAUGGCUACUGCUACUGGUGGUAGUGCCGAUGGUGGGGAUGAUCAUUGUUCCUCUCGCGGCAAGGGGAAAAUCAUAGUUGGCCCUCAUGAUAAGCCUAAGAAAAUGAGCACGUGGGAGAGAGCAAUGCUUUGUUAUUUGGAAAGAUGUCAUGAAGAUGCUAUUGCGGUGGGUGAGGAACCUCCUUUUGGUGGUCGUUAUGCUCCACCGCCAGUCCCGGGUGUUUCAAGUCCACUGAGUACUACGGUCGUAGGAGGCACAAAUAAACCACACAAUGAGGCUGGGUCACUGAAACCUUCGUCUUCGCCGCCUAGGGAUGCUUAAAGUCCUCCCAGAUAGUACUCAGUUGAUGGUUUGUUAUAGUGUAUUAUGUUGUUUGGGUUUGAAAUUUAAAUGUGUGUAUUUCUGUCUAAAAUUUCAGCAACAUUUGAAUUUAAUGGUAUUUGUAUCAUAUUUGUAUCAUAUUUGUUAUGCUUCAUGUAUAAUUCUAUGGAUGAUCAGAAUAUCUUUGGUUCGGUAAUACUUUGUAGGUAGAUCGGCAAUGGAUGUACAACACGGAUAAAUGCUCCAUGGAGUAUAUUAAUGGUUUGCGUGGUUUUCUCGAUCUGGCAGAGUUCAACAAGUUGUCAUAUGGUUUCAUUUAUUUUCCAUGCUGAAUUUGCAAAAAUGAGAAGGAUUACUCAUCCAGACUAUUUACACCCACAUAUAUAGUUUGGGGUUGAUGCCUAACUAUUUUGUUUGGACCAAGCACGGGAAAGAGGAGUUAUGAUGAAGAUGAUGAUGAUGAAGAAGAUGAUAACUACAUUCCUAACUGGACUCAAGGAGGUACCUUUGCAGAUGCUGCAAUGGGCGAGGCUGAAGAAGAGAUGAUUGCAGAAGAAUAUCCUACCGAUGAUUUAGGUCAGGUGUUGUGACAUGCAAAGGAAGACUGCGAGAAUGUGAAGGAGUCAAAGAAGUUCGAGCGUAUGUUAGAUGAUCAUGAGAAAUUGUUGUACCCAGAUUGCAAACAUGGGCAUAACAAGUUGGGUACCACACUAGAAAUGGUGCAAUGGAAGAUAAAAAAUGGAGUUUCUGACAAGGGUUUUGAUGAGUUAAUAAAAAUUAUAAAGAACAUGCUUCCCAAGGGGAACGAAUUGCCAUUCUCAACGUACAAAAUGAAAAAGUAGCUUCUCCUAAUUCUGUGAAGUGAUUCUCCAUCCUAAUUUUUAAAGUUUCGACAAAAACCAAUCUAAUAUUUUGCAUCUUUUCUUUUCUUCUUUUGCCUUAACUUUUCCAAUCCCAAUCUGCUAUUCUUCCUUCAUCUCGACGACGUUUGAAGGUGUUCUAGGUGGCCUGCCGGCCCUAUAACAACCCUACAUGCGCCUGCCCUGACAGGAUCCCUCUCGGGCGAGUGUUCAUCGAUCUACCGUCGGUCUUCCCGACAACCGGUCAGACCGGUCGUUGUAACCGGUCAGAUUGGCCUGCACCGAGGUGCUGCAGUGAGCCCCUCCGCGAGCUACACGAUCAUGUGCGUUCAUGUGUUGGCCUAAAAAAGCGUCAACACAAACUAUGAUAAUCUGCAAUUGUAUGCUAACAACAAAAGGAAAUCAACUUUGGCCACUCAUUUAUAAACAAGUGUUUGGAUGGGCCAUAAAAAUAAUUAAUAUCAAUGGAUUCUUGUCACGUAAAAACAUCUUCAUAUAACACCAGAAAGUAAAGUAGAAACAGGUUGGAGGGUUCAUUCGUAACCAUCCGCAGGCACCCCUUGCGGGAGUAGUAGGAGCACCCGGGAAGGGCGGCAUGGACACUGGUACGCACGUACCAAAUUGAGAACCCACCUGGCCACCUGGGCCGCUGAUCUUCAGCCUUGCACGAAUGAUCGAUCCUGCCACAAAGGAUGUCCUUGUGUUCUUGUGUAUCUAUAUUCUAUAUAAAGAGGUUACAGAUCAGAGUUGCUCAAAAUGGCAGAAAUACAGACCUGCACGAGACUCAGUCCACCACCCUCACAAUGGGUUGGUUUGGAUUCCGAGCAAGCUGUUCCUGGAUUUUCUUCUUCAGUUCACCUUUCUUGCGCCUAGCUUCCUCGUUGAUGGUUAUUAUUUCUCCACGCCAGUACAUAUAAACAUCGAGCUGGACUUCGUUGAUGCUUUGGAGAAUAUCUAGCCCAGAAAAGCAAAUCUCAUUAUUUGCAACCCCUGUGACCUGCAGCCACUCAAGUUUGGGCAUUGCUCCUUGCUCAAACUUUACCGAUUUGACCUUGCUUAUUACUCCAAAACUGAGCACCCUGAGGCUUCCAAAAGCUAUUCCAGCCUGCGAUGAUUUGAAAUCAAGUUCUUCACCCUGAAGCAAUGACCAGUGCCAAGACAGAACUAGAAUUUCCAGCUUCGCUAGGUUCCCAAGGAAUUCCAUAGCAGCAUCGUGCUCCAAUAGCCUGGUCCUCGCUAGUUUCAACUUCACGAGAUGCGGGAGCUCCUUGAUCCAUUCCGGCAACGUUUCCAGAUUGCCGUAGAGCUUGAGGCUCUGCAGGUUUUCCGGAGGGGAGGAUAUUCCAUCCAAGCAGCCACGCAAACCUCGCUUCCCUGCUGAACGCACCGACAGCGAUUCCAGCCUGCUGAGAUUGGAAACAGCGGCACGAAAAGCCGGGCCAUUCUUCCUGUUGAUGCCGGUGACUCCUAACUUGCGCAAUCCAGUGAGCCUUUUGAUGUCCUGUAGAACGGCAUUUCCCCUUCCAACAUUCACUUCCCUCAAUGUGUGCAACUCUUUCAGUUUUCUGGUCCCCCAUGGCACCGUAACGCUUCUUUCUUCAUCAACCCCCAUCAUGACAGCAGGGAAUUUCACGCAGCAAGCGAAAGUGCAUGCAUCACGCCUUGUGAGGGCCUUAUGGAGAGGGCCAUGAAUGUCCCCAAGAAGUGGUACGCAACAUGUUGCACAUUGACCCGCCCCCCAAAGACACCUUCUCGUUAAACUGUCCUUUGCCUCUGUUACAUAAUCUGUUCUCCGACCAGCGUGGAUGUACUGUAGCUUCCAAAGCUUGAUGAUGGUUUUGGGCAGAGCCCUUACCCGUGUACCUCUGACGUCUAGCACUUGGAGCUGUCUCAGGUUGCCCAAUGAAUCUGGCAGUAGAUCAAUACGAAAACAUCCUCGUAGAGAAAGGUAUUUGAGUUGAAUAAGCUUCCAAAUAUGAUCAAGCUGAUGGUAUUUUAGAUCAUCUAUAUCUUCUAAGUCGAGCACUCGUAGAAGCCUCAUCUUGUCAGAAAUGUAAAAUGGUCUGAAUUCUCCGAACACGGUUAGUGAUCGUAAUCGUGACAGAUCAACUAUUCUCUCUAACUCACUCUGAUCUCCUUUCCAGUUGCUGCUUAUUGCAAGAUGACGAAUUGCGCCUAGGGUACUCAAGCCACAUCCUUCCUCCAGUCUAAAAACAAGGUUUUCCUCCAUUGACUUUGAGAUGGCAAUGUCACGGAUGAGAUCAUGGACUUUGCAAGAGUCAAUUGAUUUUCUACUGCGAACUGAUUGUUGAAAUGGUAAAAUCAUGCUUCUGUAUUUGAGUUGUGUAAAGUAAUUUUCAGCCAUUUCAUUGGCAGACUUGCCACGCCUCUCGUGUGAGUACCCUUCUGCUGUCCAUCGAUGCACCAAACGCCUCUGGCUAAUGAUGUGGUCCUCAGGAAAAAUGGACAGAUAUAAGAAACAUGACUUGAGUUCAUAGGGUAAACCAUCAUAACUUGUCUGAAGGACGGUUCUUAUCAUCCCAAGCUCUGGAUUCAUCUCUAACUCAGCACUGAUAUUUUCAUUCAACUUUCUCCACUCAGCUCUAGUCUUUGGCCGGCUUGCCAAGUAGCCACCUAUUGUAACUAUUGCAAGGGGAAGUCCACCACACUUCUUUAGGAUUUUUUUUGUUUCUUCAAACAACUCAGGAUUCUUCUUAAUCAAAUCUGUUGCCUUCACAAGGGGAAGUCCACCAUACUUCUUCAAGUUUUGGUUUGCUUCUUCAACGAACUCUGGAUUCUGCUUAACAAAAUCUGCAGCCUUCCCAAAUACCUAAUUUUAAUGCAAUUUAAGUAUUUUAGUACUCUAAUCCAGAAAAUAAAUAAUUGUGCAUUACUUGUUGAUAUUUUGUUUGCUAGUGAUAGGCGCACGAUUGGUUGUGCACAGUGAUAAACACAUAUUGAAACAACAGUUUUCGUGUGAAACUUGGUGAUAUAUAAAUUUUUUUUGUAAGUUUGGCUGAAACUUGUCCAUUAUUCUUUUAUAAAAUAUUGCUGAAAAUUCCCACAACUUCACGAACUUUCUUGGGAGUUGCCUUUCAUAAAACGUGCCCAUUAUUCUUUUAAUUUUUUUCUGUAGUAGACCAUCUGUGAUGAGAGCUGUUAGUUUCCUUUAAUCUAACAUAUAUGAAUAUGAUGAUCUGAGGUAUACGAGAUCGGUUUACAGUAGAGUUGAAGCUAUGUUUUAAGGAAAUUUCCUAAAUACUAGGGAACUACUAAGUUUCACCUUAGUGUUUUAGAUGGCUUCAACACCAGAAUUUGGUCCCAGAGUUUUAUACCAACACUUAUGCUUUAGGGGUUAUAUGGAUAUAAGUUAAGAAAUUUAUAUGUUUUGAGGCCUCAAGAUGACAACUGACUUUUGUUUAUACCAUAUAAUUAUAAUCAGUUUAAUUUUGAAUUAGGGCUACUCUACCCAUAAGUUACAUUCGCGUUUUUUUAUAAUUUUCAAGUAAUAAGAGUGUAAUAAAAAUUCAACUAUUAGAUACCUGAAUAUAACACUUGAUCCUUUUGUUAGUAUGAAGUUAGAUCUAAGUUGAGUUAAUAUCUUGAAAUUGGAUAGCUGAAAAUAUAGUCCUAGUCCUAAUAGUAAGGAUAAAAAAUGCUUGAGUGACAUAUAUAUAGUCCUAGUCGUAAUAUUAAGGAUAAAAAAUAUACAAGGACAUUCACUCAAAGUGAAAUAUGACACACCACGUAGCAACAACUCAAAACAAAUGUAGGCUGCGCUACUUGAAAAUAAUUUAAUAUACAUAUGACAUCAUGUUCUUCUCAAAUUGUUAUUAUGCUAGAUUCAAAAAAUUUUAACCAUUGUAAAAAUCCCCAAGUUAUUAACAUUGCUGCAAAGACCCAUAGAAAUUUAAUACUUUAGCAACCAAAUGAAGCAAUGAAUACUACUACACGAUCCGUGGAUGUUUUCAGUGUUUUAGUUGGUGGGGGUAAUUAAUAGUUUUUAAAUAAUAUUAUCUUCAUAGUCAAUUGUAAAUACUUUUCAUUAAUGAAACAAACAAAAAAUAAAAAAGAUAGUUGACAGUGCUAUUGGAAACUCCUAAUAUUGGAAAAGUCACUUAAUAUAAUGACAAAAGUACCUUCCCUUAAGAUCCUAACAUAAAUGAGAACUAUUUUGUUGUUUCACAUGGAUAAAUGACUAUGAAAGGGAAUUAAACAAAUAAGGACAAAAGAAAUUAAAGCAUUCUCUACCGUGUUCAACAAGAGGACAAAACACAUUUUUGCUGUGUUCUGGUGGUGUUUGUGGUCUUGUUUUCUAAAAGGGAGAAUGUGCAUCAUUGAUAUACUGGGAGGUCAAAAUUACGUUAUAUCUGAAUCAUGGAUGUAUAGGUGAUUAGCGGCAAUAAUUGGGAUGGCAACAGCCUGUUGAAUAUCAAUGUAUUGAUCAUCUUGGUUCAGUUGUUCAAAUGAUAAACAAAUGUCAAACAAUUUGCAUGUUCCCAUAUGUUCCCUGUUGUUGACAGGACCAUCUUUAAUCUCUACGAAAUGCUAGACUGUUGUAGUAAUAAUGCUAUUUAAAAUCAAGCAAAAGUGACAAGGUUUCUAUUAUAUUACCUUUAAGCUGAAGAGGUUAAGUGCGUCCUCUUCUUUUAGAACUUCAAGGUUGUGUAUUAUUCCAUAUUUCCUGGAACAAUGUUUUGCAAUGCUUUCCUCCCUUGUAGUCACAAUUAUUCGGGAUGUUUUUUCCAUCCAAGAAAACCCUUGUAUUAUAUGGUCCCAUUCUUCAAUGGAUGAUAGAUCGUCCAGAACAAUCAAGCAGCUCUUCUUUUCUAAAAGCCUUUUCAACUCUUUAGUCAAGGCUUCAACCUCCAUCAUUGCUAAUGAUUCGGUCCUUUUGGGUCUAUUGUUCAACAGUUCUUCCUUCUUAGAAGACUCUUCUUGUAAUCGCCCGACUAAACUUCUAAGUAGAUCUGCAGGAUUGAAAGGACGCAUGAUUGUGACAAAAGCAUGCUUCUCAAACAUGUCACUUAACUUUGGGCUUUGAUAAAUGCCAUUGGCUAGAGUGGUUUUUCCAAGACCACCCAUUCCCCAAACAGAGAUCACCUGACUCUGUUGGCUAGCCUUGUUUGAGAUUAAUCCUAUAAUUUUGAAUAUUUCUUUCUCUCGACCAAUCAGUUGAGAUUCCUCCAAAGAACCAACACCCGUUCUGAUGCGAGUGAGGCUCUUUUUGUCCACCUUCGUUUCAUCAACAUCCUUACACUGAUUCUCUGUUAUCUCACUAGGGGCCACUGUUUGGGCAUUUGUACUGGUAGUGGCCACAUCUGAGUUAGAUACUAGAUCCAUAGAAACCAUUUCAUUUUGAGAACCCUGAACAAACAGAAAGUACAAUUAUUGGAAGCAACCUUUAAACUUCAUCUUCUUUUUAUUUUUUAAGGUUAUGUGUACCUAUAACAAAAGUACUAUAUAACCUUUUAUGUAAUCAUGCAGUGAGUGACUAUUGGUCAUAAAUCAAUUUAACAAGGUAUGAAAAUUACAGAUAACAAAAAUCUGGCCUCGCUGCGGUGCUUAAGUUUUUAAUAUCUAUAAGCCGAAGUCCUAACAUAAAUGACUAAGGUCAUAGUUGAAGACAUCAGGGGUAAAGGGUAAUGGUUUCAAAUGAUCCACCUCCAUCUGAAAUCAUAAAACCCAUCCAGUUAUUACUCAGUAAUAUGUAGUUUAAACGACGCUCCCUAUUGAUAGAAAUAUCUUGGUGUCCUCCUAUCUAAAUAUUUAAGAGUUUAGUGGCUGUGUUUAUAUUAGCUGUUGAAGAAGCCGUAAAUUAUAACUUCUUCAUCUAAUAUUCAACGAUGAAUCCCAAGUUAUGUUUAUCCUCCCCUCAAGAGAUGCUGCGAUCAACAUAGACUACAGCAAUGAACAGAUUCAGUAUCUUUCCCCUUCAUAUAGAUUUUCAGUUAGCAAAUGCAGUGAUUUCACAAUUUUUCUAGUAUAUCCAUUCAUUAAAUCUGCUGGAAUAUCCAUCUAAGAUUUAACAAGGUAUUAUUUUUCACAUUGACAGUGGGAUGUUGCUUUUCAAGCACAGAUGGGACAAUUGCUUUCGAGAUUUAUAUAAUUAAAAUAAAGCUUCAAAAUUUACAGUUAAGCAAGGAAGCUUAUAUUCCCUCCGUUUCAAAAUUUACAGUUAAGCAAGGAAGCUUAUAUUGCUUUAGAGAUUUUUGCUAUGCACCUAAAGGGUUAUGCCUAGAUACAUACCAAACUCUAUGUAUUUAUAAAAGCCAAAACGACCUAUAAUUUGAAACAGAGGAAGUACUUCAUUACACUGCAACUGCUUAAAUGCUGUUGGAAAAUAAUAUAAUCCUUGAUACGUGGAUAACUGAACCAGAAUAACGAUGUCACAGAAUGUUACUAAAAAUAAAAAUAUAAGUAUUACCUUGUCAUAGAAUGCAUAAAGCGUGUGAUCAGCAGACAAUUGCUUUAGCUCUGAGGCUUGGCUAUCUUGCCCUGCACAUAAGCUUGCAACUUCAACUUGUGUUGUUGACACUAUGAUUCGGCUUCCUUUGUUGUUGUUUGGCAGGCAUUUUUCGAUCUGGUCCCACUCUUCAAUGGUGCAGAGGUCAGUAAGUACAAUGAGAAACCUCUUCUCCUUCACAUAUCCAUCGAACUCCUGAACUAAAUUGCGCGCGGUUUUCUCUAUGUCCAAUAUAUCUUUAAAUCCUUCCAAUGCAAGAAAUUGGUUCACUAAGCUCUGGACAAAGCCUUUUGAACUGAAUGGAUGAGUCACCCUCACCCAUGCUCGGCUGGGAAAUUUGCUUUGGGUGUCUGGAUUCUUGUAAGCCGCCCUGAUGAUGGACGUUUGGCCGAUAUCUCCACCUGUUCCCCACACCGCAAUGACUCUAAGGUCAUCACCCUCCUUGUUGAUCAGUUGGACGAGAUCCACUCUCUGACUCUCCUCCUUUGCGGCACGCCUUGCAUCAUCAACACCGAAUAUGGCUGCAGCAAUGAUGCUUGAUUGCUCAGUGGCAGCUGUGGCCUUGGAUCCGGAGCCCUUGAUGAGGCGGUACCGAACAUUCCUCUGGCUCACAUCCUCAACCUUGGCCCUGAGCUCCUUCAUCUUCUUGGCCACACGGCGCCGCUCGAGCAGCGUGCGAGGGAAUCGCCACCAAGAUGGCCUCUCCACACGGACAGCAAAAUCUUGGAGACUGUCCUCGACGUCAUAGGCCGUGUCACGGACCUGCUUCACCCAGGUCUUCACCACCUUGUUGUCGCCUCGCUCCUCGUGUGCCUCCAUCAGGAAAGACUGCAUCAUCUCAAGCUCAUCCGAGACGAACGCAUGAUCUCGCUGGAUACCGAGCUGCAAGGCUACCUCCUCUGCGAAGGCAGAUUUCGCGUAGCCGACCGCUCCAUUCAGCACGGACUUGCCCACACUCAGCGCCGUCGCCUCCAUCGUUCUGCUGUGUUUCUCCGUGGAUCUAUACAAGGCUCAAAUUUAGAAGCUAAAACUCCGAGGCAGAAAAGGAUAGAUGGACAGGCGUUGAUGCCACCCAGUAAGAUGGCAAGUACCUGAAUUUUGGUGAACGCACAACCAAGGCAGGGGCAGAUCUAGAGGUAAAUAUGCUGCAAAAUACAUUCUUGCUGUAAUGACAAAUAAUACUCAACUGAACAGUACAAUCUGUGAGAAACUGAAGAUCUUUGAAAGUAUACCUUCUGUGGCCUAUGAGAUCUUGUGGCGUGGAAGUAAAUACAGCACUCUACUGCUUUGAUCCGGCGAGGCUCAAGGUCACGGGACGGCCCACACACGCACGCCCUGACGUGACCCGGCAAGCCAGCAAGGUUGAGGCCAAAUGGUGGAAGCGUGAUUCCAAGGCAGUAGGCACCGAGAUGGCGGUGCCGCCCUCGCCGACGAGCUAUGCGGCCACUACUCUUGCACCCGGUCGGCCUGUCGCCGCUCACACUCUGUGGUGUCUUGGUAGUCACCAGUCACUCCCUCGGGGUCAAAUUACUAUUUGUUUUAGCUAACGAAUAGUAAUUUGGGGUGGAGGGGGUAGAUUUUUUCAUUCAGUUACAUCCAAAGCGAUUGGGUAGCAACCAUAAUAUACUUAACCUACAUGGGGCGGUACAUUGGCAACAAUGAGAUACUUAACGAACCAACUACCCUAGUUCCUAACAUAAGCUGGUGAGGAGUCAAUGUGAUCCGCCAUAUUCUAUGUUCAACUUUAUCAGUAGGUGUAAGAACCAUAUUAUAUUUCAUUCAGUCCAUUCACGUCUUUUCGUUGGUUUGCCAAACAAAUCCCAAGAAAUACGAUCCAUAUGUCCUACCACCAAGAUCUCCAACACAUACAAUUUCUAAAAGAGAAAAGGUGCGUCGAUUAGGUUGAUCGGUGUAACCAUCCAGGCACAAAUUGACAAAAGUUCGAGGCCUUUCAUCAGCCCCCUUUUUUGUGCCCAACUGCCGGUCGCCAAAUGCCGAACACGUCAAGAAGACUCACCAAAUUUUGUGGUGGAUUUUCAGCGGCAAAGCUUCCUGUGAGAGGUACAUGAGGGAAAGCGACGUGAAUUCGUUGAACACUUCACGGGUGCUGAUGCUGUCUAUCGGAUGAGCAUGUGGAAUAAGAACAAAGUAGUGUGGAUAAGAGCUGAGGUGGUGAUAAGCUCUUGGCAUCUGCAUCUCAAGCACAAAAGUUUAGAUGAAACUUAGCUAAACAGGACCUUGAAAUGGAUGAUACUUGGUACCAUACUAUUUUGAAAUUCAGGAAAACAAGACGGAACGCUUUGCUGGACAUCUUCCGUACAACGCUUGUGUGCUCUUUGAGCCCCUCCAACGAAUCCGGUCAUGAGCACUACAAACAACUAGCGCGUAUAAUUGUGCUCCUUGAAAAUAGCUAGUUUAAGACCCCGUUUGGAUCAACUUCAGGCUUCCAAAAACUCUAGCCGACCUAAUUAAGUUUUGAUCUAGCUUUUACAACCUUACAAGCAAUCUUUCCUAAAAAUUUUCAGUACAUUUGUGCAUUAUGACUUUUAAAAGCUCUAGCUGAUCCAAAGAAGCCAGCUUGGUCUAGCUUUUAACAAUCCAUAAGUAGGCCGUACCUAAGAUUUAGAGGUCCUUGUGCUAAACAUAAAUUAGGCCCUUCAUUUACAAGUAUAAGUAAAUGAAGUGUAUUUUUUAUUUGAUUAUAUAACAUAUCAUGAUUAAGUGCUUGUUGUCCUGAUUAGUAGAACAGUAACAGAUGAGAGCGCAGGGAGGAAAAAUUGAAAAGUGGAAGUAUAAUUGACAGGAGGAUCUUGGAGGAAAAAAAAUAAACAAGGCUGUUUUGAGAAAAUGAAGCGGCGACCGUUGGAGAGCCGAUCUAGGAAAAAGCAGCAAAUUGUACUAGUUCCACCUUAUUUUGCUGGCUUAGUGAUAAAUACUAAUUAUCAAUAACCACUGGUAGAGAAUUGGCCUUUAGUCCCGGUUGGUAGGGUGCAUAUCUCCCGAAAAUCCAUCUGGGAUAAACCAACCGGGAUAAAAGGGGGGUCUUUAGUCCCGGGUCUUUUAACCGGGAGUAAAGGUCCACGCCAGGCGCGGGACAGGCCCUUUAGUCCCGGCUGGAUUCCAACCGGGACUAAAUGGCGCCCUGCAUGGCACUGCCUGGUGCCUGAAUUUUUCAUGCAUGCAUCACGUACGUAGUACCGCGGCCCUUUUGUUAACCUUUAGUAGUUGAGAUUUUUUUAGAACGAAAUCAACUAGUAUUUAAACGAAUAGGAUUUGUAAUUAUACAAUUACUAUAUAUAUACACAAUUCUUAUACACAAUUCAUAUACACAAUUCAACUAGCUUAGAACAAAUCGAUCAUAAUUAGCGCGUAUUAUAUAUACAAAUAAAUCAAAGUAUAUGUCUACAAUCUUCCCGUCGUGGUGUUGCUCAUCGGAGUGUCUAAUUGUCGUCCAUCAUAAUAAAAUUCUCCUUUUGGGAAUGUUCUAUCAAUUGAUCUCCACUGUGCCCCAUCUGCGGGGUGUCUCAGCAUCUCAUCUUCCUUACGGUCUUCUUUGUGCCAUCGCAUCAACUUAGCAUUCACCUUGUUCCUGAACAAACGCUUCAAGCGUGGUAUUAUAGGGAAAUACCACAUCACCUUCGCGGGAACUCUCUUCUUGGGAGACUACCCCUCGACAUCACCAGGAUCAUCUCGCCUGAUCUUAUACCAUAGGGCUUCGCAGACGGGACAAGCAUCCAAUUUCUCGUAUUCAUCACCACGAUAGAGGAUACAGUCAUUAGGGCAUGCGUGUAUCUUCUGAACAUCCAAUCCGAGAGGGCAAACAAUCUGUUUAGCUUCAUAUGUUGUGGACGGUAAUUCAUUAUUCUCGGGGAGAAUCUUCUUGACAAUGUUCAACAUCCCCUGAAAUGCCUUAUCGGACACACCAUUUUUUGCCUUCCAUUGCACAAAUUCUAGUGUCGUACCUAGUUUUUUAUGGCCCUGCUGACAACCUGGGUACAACAAUUUUUGGUGAUCAUCUAUCAUGCGCUGCAACUUUGCUGUUUCCUUCUCAGUUUCACAAUCUCUGUAUGCAUCUCGUAUCACCUGACCAAGGUCAUCAGUAGGGCCAUUUUCUGCAAACUUAUCUUCAUCAGCCUCGCCCAUUGUAGUACCUGCAAAAGCUUGGCCUGCAACCCAGUCUGGAAUGGUGUGUCAUCUUCCUCCUCCUCCUCGCCAUCUUCCAUUACGACCCCUAGUUCACCGUGCUUGGUCCAAAUCAAAUAGUUAGGCAUGAAACCGUAUUUAAACAAGUGGCUGUGAAUAGUCCCCCAGUAAUCCUUUGAAUACUCCUUCUUGUUAUUGCAUUGGAAGCAUGGACAACAUACGAACCUAUUCCCUGGCUUGUUCGCUUUGGCCACUUCGAGAAAAUAAUGCAAGCCAUCAAUAAACGCCUUGCUCCACCUAUCUGCAUUAUACAUCCAUUGCCGGUCCAUCUGCAUCGUAUUACGCAUAAAAAUGGAUUACACUUGACAAUGGAUUACGCGUGAAAAUCGAUUAAAGAUCCAAACAACAUGGUACAAUACAACAACAUGAAGAUCCAAAUACACAUAUUUAAAUUAAAGUUCCAAACAACAUGAUACAAUACAACAAGCCAUCCACUGGUUAUUAUCUAGGAGGACUUUAAGCAUCCUUGGACGGUGAAGACGAAGGCUCCGCUGACCCAACCUCAUCCUUAGGUUUAUUUGUGCCGCCUGAAACUGUAGUACUAAGUGGACGUGAAACACCCGGGACUGAGGGUGGAGCAUAACGACCACCAAAAGGAGGUUCCUGACCCGCGGCAACAGCUUCUUCAUGACGUUGCUGCAAAUAACAAAGCAUUGCUUUUUCCAGCGCGCUCUUUUUCUUCGGCUUAUGCUGAGGGUCAACUAUGAUUUUCCCCUUGCCGAAAUAGGAACCACGAUCGCCCCCACCAUCGCCACUUCCUCCAGUAGCAGAAGCCAUCUAUGUACAAAAAUUAUUACCUUAACACUGCAUAAGUUAUUGAACUUGAAGACCGUGAUCAUCUCGCGAGCAUGUCCUCAACUGGGCGGCACCGCACUUCGUCAUGAAAGAGGUUAGAUGCUACGGAAAAGGGGACACGGUCACGAUGUCCGUAUCCACUCUUUCUCGUAGAAUCGAACCUCCUUCUUGACAUACGUUGCUGCUUGGCGGAGAACAUCCUAUGCGAGAUGACCACGGUAUGCAAGUUCAACAAGUAUGGAUUUGAAAAACCUUAUUGAAUUUGAUAAGUUCAACAAGUAGCAGAAGUCAUCUAUGUACAAAAAUUGUUUCCUUACCACUGCAGAAGUUGUUGAACUUGAAGACCGUGAUCAUCUCGCGAGCAUGUUCUCAACUGGGCGGCACCGCACUUCGUCAUGAAAGAGGUUAGAUACUACGGAAAAGGGGACACGGUCAUGAUGUCCGUAUCCACUCUUUCUCGUAGAAUCGAACCUCCUUCUUCACAUAUGUUGCUGCUCGGCAGAGAACAUCAUCGCAGAGAUGAACACGGUAUGCAAGUUCAACAAGUAUGGAUUUGAAAAACCAUAUUGAAUUUGAUAACAUAAACCGUCUAGACAAGGUAGCAUCAUUCUUAAACCACUGCAAUAAUGCAUACUAUAUAUAUGACACAUCAAUCUCCCUCACAUUCUAGCUCAAAAUACCUCUCCAUUUUCUACUUCAUCAUCACAUUCUAGCAAAUAAUCUUUCCAUCUCCAAAGCAUAAAUCAAAGCAUAACACGAGGAUGAAGUAGCAAACCUUCACAACACUUGUAUUGGCCGAGUGAAAUUCCCACGAAAAUGAGGGAAAAAACUUCGGGCAGCACCUCCCUUGCUUCGGCACCACCGGAGAGUAGGUGAAGCUCAGCUCUCUCUGUCAAUGUGCUGGACUGGCUCGGGCUGGAGGAGGAAGAAAGUCCUCUGUCUUGGCCGUAUAUAAUGGGGAUGAGUUUUUAUCCCAGUUAAAAACUCCAACCGAGACAAAAAGGAACACCUUUUGUCCCGGUUGAAACUUUUUGUCCCGGUUGGAGGCUCCAACCGGGAUAAAAGGGAUAAAAUGGUGCCGCCACCGACGCCCCCCAGCUAGCCGUUGCAACCGGGACUAAAGGGGGGCCUUUCGUCCCGGUUGCAAUUACCAACCGGGACUAACUCUCCCCUCCAUUUUUGCCUACCGUGGCACACCCCCUUUUGUCCCGGGCCAACUUUAAACCGGGAUAAAAGGGGGCGCAUCGAAAGCCAAUUCUCUACUAGUGAACAAAAUUUGAUACCAUCAAUUCUUAAACCUGACCCGGUAAGAUCAAGUAAUUUAUUUGGUUGAAUUUUGAGUUUAAUUUGGCUAGAUCAAAUUCAAGUUAGAUAACUAAAAAAAAGUCAAGUUAGAAAAUAAUAGCGAUUGCAAGAUAUUGGACUUCUUUCUUAGUUCAAAAUUGGACCUAGUGAUUUCAUCUACACAGUAGAGUGUGUGGGUGGAUGCCUGGGUGGCUAGAUGAAAUCACUAGGCCCACAAACGAUAUGCUUGAGCCUCACUAGCGUCGAGCCUACCAUUCCAUUCAUCUUAUAAACUAGCUCACACUUCAUAAACUUUAGCUAACGUCAUGUCGAAAAUUUAGUAGCCUAAUCUUUCCAUCAUGAACCAAAAAAAUGCAAACCAUGAUAAUGUGCAAUUGUAUGCUAACAUCAAAAGGAAAUGAACUUUGGCCACUCAUUUAUAAACAAGUGUUUGGAUGGGACCUACAAAUAAUAUCAUGGAAUUCUCGUCAUGUACAAACAUCUUCGUAAUAACAUAAGAAAGUAAGUAGAAAUAGGUUGAACGGUUCAUUUUUAACCACCCACUAGGUACCCCUUGCGGCUGGCAGCUGCUGCAAGGCAGCCCCGCUGAUCUUCAGCCUGGUAGGUGUGCUCGAACCUGCUGCAACCGCAAAGUAUAUAAAGAGGUUACAGAUCAGAGUCGUCCGAAAUGGCAAAAGUGCAAAAGAUAUGUCUUUUACGGUAUACAAUACUAACUUAUACUACUGUUCGAAAAGAACUCGUAUAUAAGGAUCCGAUGGUUGAGAUUAAUUGUAUACUACUAAAACCUUAAGCUAGGUAGUAUGCAUGAGUGUAUGGGUAGUACAGGGUAGGUUAUCUUCUUUCCUUUUGCUCAUCGUCUCUUCAUUUCCAAUCGUUCGCACGCGCACUGGGCUGGUGGCGGCGAGUCCACAGCUGGAGGCAGCGAGGAAGAAGGAGGUCAGGUACGAGAAGAUCCGGACCAUCGAGAAGGGCCACCGGCGGCACUUCCACGACGACAUCACCGUCGUCAUGCUGUUCCUCGACAGGUGCAGGUCCGGACCGGAGGACAUCGACGGCAGCGCACGUCGACGUCUUCUCCUACAGCCCCGCCGGCGACCACGAGGACCCGACCAGACCCGUCCUGCGUUGAGGUUGAUCUCGGAUUCUCGGCUGGUGGUCCUCGUGCUAUCCAGAGAUUGAUGAACAUACUGUUCUUUCUUUCGGUGCUUGAUCCGAUCGCUCGCUCUCUAAACGAGAGGUACGCGUGAAUCGAGCCGUUUCCCGUUCAAGGAGAAUUUGCCUGCAAAGAAAUGCUAGUAUCGAAUCGAACAUACUGUGUGGUAAACGUACUGUAAACCUUCAUCAGUUCCUUCUUUCGUUUUAAGAGAAUGUGAAUGUUCUACUGCACUCCAACGAUCCUGCUUUCUAGUAUCUGUUCUUCCCGGUGUUCUUCAUAGCCGCCGGCGGCGAGCUCCUUCAGACGAGUGAGCAGCGAAUAUUAUAUGUCGUGCUACCCAUACCAAAAAACAGCCUGCACUCUACAUUACAACCAGGUGGUAGUAUUGUCAAACGUCAGAAUUGGUUCGUUUCUAUUCCGAGCAAGCUGUUCCUGGAUUUUCUUCUUCAGUUCACCUUUCUUGCGCCUUUCUUCCUGUCUUACUUCCUCUAUCUUUUCCCUGGUCUCAGGAUCUUUAGCAGCUCCUAUCCUUCUAUAAUCCCAGUAAAUGUGAACACUGAGCUGGACCUCGUUGAUGCUUUGGAGAAUAUCUAGCCCAGAAAAUCCAAUCUCAUUAUUUACUACCCCUGUGACCUGCAGCCGCUCAAGUUUGGGCAUUAUUCCUUCUUCAAACUUUACCGAUUUGAUGUACUGUAUGUUUGCAAGCAUGAGCACCCUGAGGCUUCCGAAAGCUCUUCCAGUCUGCUGAGAUCGGAAACGAAGUUCUUCACCCUGAAACGAUUGACGAGACAAGCUUAGAAUUUCCAGCUUUGACAGUUUCCCAAGGAAUUCCAUAGCAUCAUCGUGCUCCAAUAGCCUGGUGCUCACUAGUUUCAACUUCACAAGAUGCGGGAGCUGCUUGAUCCAUUGCGGCAACGUUUCCAUAUUGCCAUAGAGCUUGAGGCUCUGCAGGUUUUCUGGAGGCGGGGAUAUAGCAUCCAAGCAGCCAUGCAAACCUGGCUUCCCUGACGAACUCACAGAUAGUGAUUCCAGCCUGCUGAGCUUGGAAAUGGCAGCGCGAAAAGCUGGGCCAUUCUUCCUGUUGAUGCCGGUGACUCCUAACUUGCGCAAUCCCGUGAGCAUUUUGAUGUCCUGUAGAACAGCAUUUCCCCUUCCGACAUUCACUUCCCGCAAUGUGUGCAACUCUUUCAGUUUUCUUGUCCCCCUUGGCACUAUAGCGCCUCUUUCUUCAUCAACUCCUGUCAUGACAGCAGGGAAUUUCACGCAGCAAGCGAAAGUGCAUGCAUCACGCCUUGUAAGGGCCUUAUGGAAAGGGCCAUCAAUGUCCCGAAGAAGAGGUACGCAACAUGUUGCACAUUGACCCGCCCCCCAAAGACACCUUCUCGUUAAACUGUCCUUUGCCUCUGUUACAUACUCUGUUCUCCGACCAGCGUGGAUGUACUGUAGCUUCCGAAGCUUGAUGAUGGUUUUGGGCAGAGCCAUUACCCAUGUACCUCUGACGUCUAGCACUUGGAGCUGUCUCAGGUUGCCCAAUAAAUCUGGUAGUAGAUCAAUACCACUACAUCCUCGUAGAGAAAGGUAUUUUAGGUGAACAAGCUUCCAAAUAUGAUGAAGCUUAUGGUAUUUUAGAUCAUCUAUAUCUUCUAAGUCGAGCACUCGUAGAAGCCUCAUCUCGUCAGAAAUGUAAAAUGGUCUGAAUUCUCCGAACACGGUUAAUGAUCGUAAUCGUGACAGAUUAACUAUUCUCUCUAACUCACUCUGAUCUCCUUUCCAAUUGCUGCUUAUUGCAAGAUGACGAAUUGCGCCAUGGGUACUCAAGCCACAUCCUUCCUCCAGUCUAAAAACAAGGUUUUCCUCCAUUGACUUUGAGAUGGCAAUGUUACGGAUGAGAUCAUGGACUUUGCAAGGGUCAAUUGAUUUUCUACUGUGAACUGAUUGUUGAAAUGGUAAAAUCAUGCUUCUGUAUUUGAGUUGUGUAAAGUAAUUUUCAGCCAUUUCAUUGGCAGACUUACCACGCCUCUCGUGUGAGUACCCUUCUACUGUCCAUCGAUGCACCAAACGUCUCUGGCUAAUGAUGUGGUCCUUAGGAAAAAUGGAUAGAUAUAAGAAACAUGACUUGAGUUCAUAGGGUAAACCAUCAUAACUUGUCUGAAGGACGGUUCUUAUCAUCCCAAGCUCUGGAUUCAUCUCUAACUCAGCACUAAUAUUUUCAUUCAACUUUCUCCACUCAGCUCUAGUCUUUGGCCGGCUUGCCAAGUAGCCACCUAUUGUAACUAUUGCAAGGGUAAGUCCACCACACUUUUUUAUGAUUUUUUUUGUUUCUUCAAACAACUCCGGAUUCUUCUUAAUCAAAUCUGUUGCCUUCACAUGGGGAAGUCCACCAUACUUCUUCGAGUUUUGGUUUGCUUCUUCAACAAACUCUGGAUUUUGCUUAACAAAAUCUGCAGCCUUCCCAAAUACCUGAUUUUAAUGCAAUUUAAGUAUUUUAGUACUCCAAUCCAAAAAAUUACAUAAUUGUGCAUUACUUGUUGAUAUUUUGUUUGCUAGUGAUAGGCGCACAAUUGGUUGUGCACAGUGAUAAACACAUAUUGAAACAAUAGUUUUCCUGUGAAACUUGGUGAUAUAUAAUUUUUUUUGUAAGUUUGGCUGAAACUUGUCCAUUAUUCUUUUAUAAAAUAUUGCUGAAACAAAUAAGGACAAAAUAAAUUAAAGCAUUCUCUACUGUGUUCAACAAGAGGACAAAACACAUUUUUGCUAUUGGAAACUCCUAAUUUUGGAAAAGUCACCUAAUAAAAUGACAAAAGUACCUUCCCUUAAGAUCCUCAGAAAAAUGAGAACUAUUUUGUUGUUUCACAUGGCUAAAUGAGUAUGAAAGGGAAUUAAACAAAUAAGGACAAAAGAAAUUAAAGCAUUCUCUACUGUGUUCAACAAGAGGACAAAACACAUUUUUGCUAUGUUCUUUUGGUGUUUGUGGUCUUGUGUUUUCUAAAACGGAGAACGGGCAUCAUUGAUAUACUGGGAGGCAAAAAUUACGUUAUAUCUGAAUCAUGGAUGUAUAGGUCAAUAGCGGCAAUAAUUGGGAUGGCAACAGCCUGUUGAAUAUCAAUCUAUGUAUGGAUCAUCUUGGUUCAGUUGUUCAAAUGAUAAACAAAUGUCAAACAAUUUGCAUGUUCCCAUCUGUUCCCUGUUGUCGACAGGACCAUCUUUAAUCUCUACAAAAUGCUAGACUGUUGUAGUAAUAAUGCUAUUAAAAAUCAAGCAAGUGACAAGGUUUCUAUUAUAUUACCUUUAAGCUGAAGAGGUUAAGUGCAUCCUCUUCUUUUAGAACUUCAAGGUUGUGUACUAUUCCAUAUUUCCUGGAACAAUGCUUUGCAAUGCUUUCCUCCCUUGUAGUCACAAUUAUUCGGGUUGUUUUUUCCAUCUAAGAAAACCCUUGUAUUAUAUGGUCCCAUUCUUCAAUGGAUGACAGAUCGUCCAGAACAAUCAAGCAGCUCUUCUUUUCUAAAAUCCUUUUCAACUCUUUAGUCAAGGCUUUAACCUCCAUCAUUGCUAAUGAUUCGGUCUCGCUGGGUCUAUUGUUCAACAGUUCUUCCUUCUUAGAAGACUCUUCCUGUAAUCGUCCGACUAAACUUCUAAGUCUAAGUAGAUCUGCAGGAUUGAAAGGACGCAUGAUUGUGACAAAAGCAUGCUUCUCAAACAUGUCACUUAACUUUGGGCUUUGAUAAAUGCCAUUGGCUAGAGUGGUUUUUCCAAGACCACCCAUUCCCCAAAUAGAGAUCACCUGACUCUGUUGGCUAGCCUUGUUUGAGAUUAAUCCUAUAAUUUUGGAUAUUUCUUUCUCUCGCCCAAUAAGUUCAGAUUCCUCCAAAGAACCAACACCUGUUCUGAUGCGAGUGAGGCUCUUUUUGUCCACCUUCGUUUCCUCAACAUCCUUACACUGAUCAUCUGUUAUCUCACUAGUGGCCACUAUUUGAGCAUUUGUACUGGUAGUGGCCACAUCUGAGCUAGAUACUGGAUUCACGGAAACCAUUUCCUUUUGAGAACCCUGAACAAACAGAAAGUACAAUUAUUGGAAGCAACCUUUGAACUUCUUCUUCUUCUUGUUAUUUUUUUAAGGUUAUGUACCUAUAACCAAAGUACUAUAUAACCUUUUAUGUAAUCGUGCAGUCAGUGACUUUUGGUCAUAAAUCAAUUUAACAAGGUAUGAAAAUUACAGAUAACAGAUAUCUGACCUCGCUGCAGUGCUUAAGUUUUUAAUAUUUAUAAGCCGAAGUCCUAACAUAAGGUCAUAGUUGAAGACAUCAGGGGUAAAGGGUUAUGGUUUCAAAUGAUCCACCUCCCUCUGAAAUCCUAAAACCCACCCAGUUAUUACUCAGUAAUCUGUAGUUUAAAUGAUGCUCCC
rnacentral:lncRNA from 1 species